CAAGGAUGGCCUUCCAUGUUGAUCUUCAACGGCUCCUAGCUGCCUUGGGGCUAUAAAAGGGACCCCUAGGUGCAUGGAGGAGUACACCAAGCAUUCUCUGAGUAUUCUAAAGCAUCCAGACUUCGCUCCCGCGCAUUCGCUUCAUUGUGCUAGUGAUUUGGGCUCCAUUCGAGUAGUGCACUCUCUGAGUUGUCAUUUGAGCUCAAGUCGUCACUUGUGUGCGUGGUUGUGCUGCGUAUUUGAGUCUUGCGUGUGUUGCUUCUCCCAACCUUACUCUGUGCUUUCUUUGUGAUCUUUAUUGUAAGGGCGAGAGACUCCAAGUUGUGGAUAUUCCUCGCAAACGGGAUAAGACUCUAAAGGAAAAGACCGUUGUAUUCAAGUUGAUCAUCGGAUCACUUGAAAGGGGUUGAGUGCAACCCUCGUCCAUUGGGACGCCACAACGUGGAAGUAGGCAAGUGUUACUUGGCCGAACCACGGGAUAAAAUCGCGUGUCUCUUGUGUUGCAUUCUCUAUGAUUGUUUUGUCCACAAGAACUCGUCUCAUAACUACUUAGUCGCACUAACACUUCUAUAACUAAGUUUUGUGGCUAUUUAGUGGUUGAUUGUACAGGAUCACCUAUUCACCCCCCUCUAGGUGCUCUCACUUAUCCCAUUCAUAUUUUCAUGCUGGAAAUCAGUUUCUUUGAUUUUUGGUGGAUAUCAUUUCUUCAUGAAAAAUACAUAGGAAUUAGCCUUUGGUACUAUCAAAAAUGGUCAUUCGUGGUCGUUUUCAGCCAAAACUAUUGGUCGUGUACUCAAGGAUCUUUGGUGAGAGGUUCCUAUUACUUACCCCAUACAUAUUUCCUUGUUAACAUUUAGCUUCUUGUAUUUUUGGAAGAGACUUUAUUCAUGAAAAAUCCAUAGGUGUUAGCGUUUAGUAUUGUCGAAAAUAAACGUUCAAGCCUGUCAUGGGUGUAGUAAAUCCAAAGGACUCAUUGUUUAUGAGCAGAAACUAGAUAGAAAAAUAUUGUCUCAGCUAGGUACAUCCUAGUGGCCCUAGAAUGUCUGAGACUCAAUAGAUCUAGACAUCGAAAAACCUGAAGUUAGUAAACUAGCUAACAAAAAAAUGUGAAACAUGAAACCGGCCCGAGAUCAUGGGAUGUCCAAAAUCUACACAAGAAAAUGGAUUGAAGAAACAACACAUGCUUGAGUGUCUAGAUUGCCAUGUUUGACAUGUCGGAACCAACAAAAGUCUAGAAAUCAUAAUCCAAAAGGAGCAAAAGGAGUGGAACAAGAGUGAAGAUGAUUUUUUGUUUAUAGUUUACUUUAUUUUAUAUAAGAAUUUAAUAAGGGAGUUGAACAAGAGUGAAUGUGAUUUAUUGUUUAUAGUUUUUAAAGGGCAUGGAGUUGAACAAGAGCGAUGUUGAUUUGAUGUUUAUAGUUUUUAAAGAUGAUUUGAUGUUUAUAGUUUUUUAUAAGGAAAUAAGUAGGGAACUCAUGAUGACUACAUGCUUUUGCUUUUCGUUUCUUUUUUUAUGAGAGGAGUGCAUGUCAUGCGUUUGUUUUGAACUUUUGCAUGAGAGGAAAAGAGCUAGGACCUACUUAUAGCAAUGGUAUACAUGUGUUAGUCUUUGAACUAGCUGGCCAGGGUUCUGUCAAGGAACAAAAAUAGCCGGCCAGCGAUGUCUGUGGCGUGCCAUACGUCAAUAUCUAGCUCCCUUGUGUCCAUUGUCCAUAAAUACAUGCUCAUCUGCAACAUCGAUCUCCACACACACACACACAUCCAUCAAAGAAACAGGCACACAAGAACAAAUACCUCGCCACCAACAAUGGCCUCCAGGUCCUCCAUCCUACUUGCAACGGCGAUGCUGGUUGCGCUGUUUGCGGUUGGUUUGUGCACCACCCCGCUCACCUUCCAGGUUGGCAAGGGAUCCAAGCCUGGCCACCUGAUCCUCACCCCCAAUGUUGCAACCAUAUCUGACGUGGAGAUCAAAGAGCACGGGGGCGAUGACUUCUCCUUUACGCUCAAGGAGGGCCCGACCGGCACCUGGACGCUCGACACCAAGGCCCCGCUCAAGUACCCCCUUUGCAUCCGCUUUGCUGUCAAGUCCGGUGGCUACCGCAUCGCCGACGACGUCAUCCCCGCCGAUUUCAAGGCCGGCACCACCUAUAAGACCACACUCAGCAUCUAAUCAGCCUCUGAUGAUGAAUUAUAUUUCAAAAGAGCUCACCUGGCGCUCACGUUAGCAAGACAAUAUUUUUUCUAUGGUUAUUUUGUGGCGCCAAACCACCCAAGAAAUAUGUGAUGCUACAUGUCCCUUAUGAUGCCUUGUUGUGUUGGGUUGAUAUUAUUACAUAAACUAAAUAAAUUAUUCAUUUAAGAUUUUAGGAGAAAUAUGUUGAUAUGGUCUACCUCCAAUUAAUCAGCUAAGGGCAUCCCAUUCCACCCUCAUGAUUGUACUGUUGUCCGAGGCAGUCUCUCAACGAACAUGUCCUUACGGAGAGGUACUCGGGAAACAUCCUGAGCCACCUAAAAUGCCAUAAGUUCAUAAUCAUAAUCAUAAUGAAUCAUAGUACCAUAAAUUAAUUCUCAUCAUGUUCAUUGAUUAGGGUAAAGCACUAGCAUGUAGCUGAUUAUAAUAACCCAACCCAAAAAGAUAAUCAAGGACAGGAUAAAUAGAAAUCUAGUCAAGCCUUAGGUUAUUCAUAGUAUGCAGGAUAGUGAAUUAUAAAGUAAAUAAGACAUAAAAGGUCAGAGGACACUUGCCUUCACCAAACUGUUGAUGCUCAGGGCUUCUCCUGCAAGUUCCUCCAACAACGCAGACGGAACGUUAUCUACGCGAGUGCGAACACACAUUCAACAUUCUUGUAACAGAAAGGAAUAGUACACCAUACAAGGGAAAACAUUAUAAACACGUGCAAUACAAAAUGGUGUUCGUUUCUACGGUCACACCAGAAAAAAGAAACGCUGAGAUCGAAGCUACGAUUGAGAAGUUAUUGCGUCUACGUUGUACAAAUAUGAAAUAGAACAUUUAAUUCGACAUACUUACAUUAAUCGACAUUUAUUAAAUGUAAACUAGAACUAUCGCCUAAUUUUAAUUAAUUCUCGUUACACAAGCAGCUCUCGGUUAAUUAAACAAUUUAAAUUAUAUUAGGGACUCUAAGUGAGACAAAUUAAUGACGCGAGAUAAAGUACGCAACGCGCGAAACAACACGUCAGCACGCGCACGGCGUGCGGACCAACACAACACAUAAGGACUAAUAAAUAGAUAGCAUGUUCAAACUAAACAAUUAUUAAUAAAGAAUAUUUCGAUUAAGGUUAACCAUGUUAUCGUUUAUUUAUAAAUGCGCAAAUCAAGACCCUAAUUUAGAUUUUAAAUUAGUAAGCUACAUUAUUAACCAUCGGUCAAACAAACAUUUAAAUAAAUUAAAUAAAUAUGUAAAAAGCAGAGAAUAAUGAUACAAACAUGUAGACAAUUUUAAUAUGAAUCUAACGCGACUUGAAUGGAGUGAAUCGGAUUUAAAACACAAAAGAUAUCACGAUUUUAAAUUGAAAAUCCUAUCUGCAUGCAGUUUUAAAAUUCCAAUGGGGUUUUUCGCAAAAAGACCAUCUACUUCCUCCCUCCAUCAUCUUCUCUCACCAUGGCAAGGAAGGGGAGGAGGGAUGGGGGCCGCGCAAGGGGGGGAGGGAAGGGAGAAGAGGAAGGUGCUGCGAGGGGGAGACUGAAACGAAGAAUUUCCAUACACAACAAUAGUGGAGGGCUCACCGGAGAAGACGACCUCGCCAGAGCCGAGGACAAAUUUGGCGAUUGACGAUGAACCGUCAGUUAGAUCGACGAAUCGAAGUCACUGGGACGAAGAUCUCGACGAGACGAAAACUGCGGUACCCUCAGAUUCCACCGACGACAAAAGUAAUUGCUCACCGAAGUUGUCGCCGUCCUGAACUUCGGCGAGCAAUUUCGGGAGUUUUAGAUCUAAGGGAACGAGUUUCGAAAUUCGAAAAGAGCUCCACGAGAGUAUUCCAGCCAUAUAUAUUUCUAGGGUUUGAAUAAAUUUUAUUUUCGUAAUUAUCCCAUUUUUAAAAUUACAGAUAAUUCCACAAAAAAGCUGAAAUCAUUUUUAAUGCUCGAAAAAUAUCUCGAUGGCUCUAAAAAUUCUAGGAAAAUUCCUAGACAUGUUUUGGCACCCAAUGAACUCAAAAACCAUAUUUAGCACUUUUGAAAAUGUUUUUAAGUAACUCAAAUAAAUGUAUUUUUAAUUUUAGAAAAUAGAAAAAUAUUCAUAAAAAUAUGAAAAUUUAUGGGAAACUUCUAUAAGACAUAUGAACAUGUUUCAAAGACUUCUUGCACUUAGAAACACUAUGCAACAGCAUGAAUGCAACAACCAUUACACUUCUAGAGCCCACGACAACAUAGAACAAAAUAACUCUCUAUUGUUUUAAUAAAGGGAAACACUACUAAAAAAUCACCCUAAUGCCACGACAGAUAUUGCAACAACAAUAUUUUUGUUGCUGUUGGGACAUGCUUCGUCACCGAAGGUCAUGCAGGAAGAAGCAGCUUCGGCUGAAGCUGUUUGUAUGAGAUACCGAAGGAUGCAGUUCAUGAAGCUUCGGAAAUGCAAACCGACUUAAAGAUAGAAUGACCCUUUAGCCCAUAAGAGUUCGAGUCAUUGUUGUAAACUUUUAUGAGGGGUAUGAUUGUAAUUCCUCACAGGCUGGGUCCUGUGCCUAUAAAUAGUGAACAGUAUUCCUUUACUGUUCACGAUUUUCCGGUAUUUGCAAUCGCUUCACUCGGGAACCAAUCUUUGCCAAGGCAGAGGUAUAAUUGUAUUCAACACUUAAAUAUAAUGAAUGGAUAAAAUAUGGUUUAUUUAUGAUUCAUUUACCUUUGAUAUUCUAUAUUUUAUGUCAUCGUAUACAAUCUGUUAGAAUUCAAUUACGGAGAUAUGACCUUCGUAGUAAUUGUAUUGCUAUCAACCUUCGUCCAAGGCCCAUUAUCCCCAAGGGAAUAAUGCUUCGUUGGACGAAGAACAUUAGCAUUUAACAUUUUAUGUUGCCUUGUUCUUAAUUCAUAGCAUUUGAGAACAAGUUCCCAACAUUGGCGCCCACCUCCGGUGAACUCACUUCCACUUUUUCGAGCUGAUGGCUUCGUUCAACGAUCGAGCUGGAGCUGCUUCGGCUCCGAAGCUGGUGCUCCCGAUAACAGGUGGUUCGUGCUUAGAACCAGCCAACAAAAAGCAGAAGAAAGAGGCGCAGAGAAGGGUACAACAUGUUGGAGUGCAGGGACCCUUCAUCAAGUCAAGGUGGUCCCACAUUCCAAUCACCUUCUCCCAGGAGGACCUUCAGCUCAAGGAUUUUCCUCAUAACGAUGCUAUGGUUAUUUCUUGCGUUAUCAAAGGGUUUCUGGUCCACAAUGUCUUGGUUGAUACAGGCAGUGCAGCUGAUAUCAUAUUUGCUAAGGCCUUCAGGCAAAUGCAAGAGCCAGAAGAUAAGAUUCAUGAUGCUACACACCCUCUCUGUGGCUUCGGAGGAAGACAGAUUGUAGCACUGGGCAAGAUCACCAUGCCAGUGACCUUCGGAUUCAUCAACAACACCAGAACUGAGCAAGUUGUGUUUGACAUUGUUGACAUGGAAUACCCUUACAAUGCAAUUAUUGGUCAUGGCACCCUCAAUGCUUUCGAAGCAAUUCUUCAUCCUGCUUACCUUUGCAUGAAGAUACCUUCGGAUCAAGGACCCAUUGCUAUUCAUGGGAGUCAGGAAGCUGCCAGAAGGGCUGAGGGAAACUGGGCUGACUCAAAAGCAAUCCAUAACAUAGAUGGAGCUGAAGCUUGUGAACAGUAUAAAUUCAGAAGGGAGAAAGCAGCUUCAGCAGAUCAGCCGAAGCCCAUGCUCUUAUGUGAGGACAUAGCAGAGCAGAGGGUGCUGUUGGGCUCUCAAUUAUCCGAAGAACAGGAGAAAACCUUGAUAAGGUUUUUGUUCAACAACAAAGAUGUUUUUGCAUGGUCAGCCAAUGAUCUUUGCGGAGUUAACAGGGAUGUUAUUGAACACUCGCUCAAUGUUGACCCAUCCUUCAGACCCAGAAAGCAGAGGCUUCGGAAAAUGUCUGAUGACAAGGCCGAAGGUGCUCGUAAUGAAGUCAAAAGACUCCUCAUUGCAGGAGUUAUCAGAGAAGUAAAGUACCCAGAAUGGCUAGCUAACACUGUUAUGGUAAAAAAGGCCAAUGGCAAAUGGCGAAUGUGUAUCGAUUUUACAGAUCUCAACAAGGCAUGUCCGAAGGACGAAUUCCCAUUGCCAAGGAUAGACUCCUUAGUUGAUGCAGCAGCUUCGUCAGAGCUUAUGAGUCUUAUUGAUUGUUAUUCAGGCUAUCAUCAAAUUUGGAUGAAGAAGGAGGAUGAGCCGAAGACCAGUUUCAUAACCCCUAGUGGAACAUAUUGUUACCUUCGGAUGCCUGAGGGGCUCAAGAACGCUGGAGGAAGUUUCAGCAGAAUGACUGUGAAGGUUCUCCAGUCUCAGAUAGGCAGAAAUGUGCUAACUUAUGUUGAUGAUAUCAUUGUAAAAAGCACGAAACAGGAAAAUCACAUUUCUGAUUUGCAGGAGACCUUCGCCAGUUUUAGACAAGCUGGCCUAAAGUUGAAUCCAGAAAAUGUGUCUUCGGAGUAAAGAACGGGAAAUUUCUUGGAUGCUUGGUUUCAACAAAGGGAAUUGAAGCUAAUCCAAGUAAAAUUUAAGCUAUACUUCGAAUGGAGCCACCAACUACAAAAAAGGGGGCCCAAAGAUUGACAGGGAGGCUGGCAUCUCUUAAUAGAUUUAUAUCCAGAUCAGCAGAAAGAAAUUUACCAUUUUUCGAAGUGCUGAAAUCAGCCGAAGUCUUUCAAUGGGGAUCAAGACAACAAAAAGCCUUCAAGGAACUGAAGCAAUAUUUGAUAGAUUUAACAACAUUAACUCCACCAACGCCAGGGGCUCCUUUGUUAUUAUAUGUGGCAGCUUCGCACUCAGCGGUAAGUGCAGCACUUGUUCAGGAGAAGCUUGAUGGCCAAGUCAAGAAGCAGGUCCUAGUGUAUUUUGUAUCUGAAGUUCUUAGUAUAUCAAAGAAAAACUACACAGAAUUGGAGAAGGUGUUAUAUGCUGUUUUGAUGGCAUCCAGGAAGCUUCGGCAUUACUUUCAAGCAUACAAUAUUCUUGUUCCUUCUUCGCAGCCGUUGAAGGAUAUUAUGAGAAAUAGAGAAGCUACUGGGCGGAUUGGAAAAUGGGCUGCAGAGCUCAAUGAAUUUUGCAUUGAUUAUGUGCAUAGAUCUUCGAUCCAGUCUCAAGCGUUGGCAGAUUUUAUCGCCGAUUGGACGCCAGGGGCUCAGGAUGAAGAAACAAAUAAAGAUGCCGAAGUAUGGACAGUGUUUUGCGAUAGGUCUUGGGGAACCUUCGGAGCAGGAGCAGCCGCUGUGUUGGUCUCACCAUCCAAAGUUAAAACUUGUUAUGCGGCAAGACUCGAUUUUAGUUGUACAAACAAUAUUGCUGAGUACGAAGCCCUGCUUUUGGGUCUCCGGAAGUUAAAAGCAAUGGGAAUCAGAAGGGCCAUUCUUAAAACUGAUUCCCAGGUUGUUUCGGGUCAUAUCGACAAGAGUUGCAAGGCUAAAGAUCCGAAGCUUGAAAAAUAUCUAGACACGGUCCGAAGAGUCGAAGCUUCCUUCGAAGGAUUUUCUGUCAAAAAUAUCCCUCGAGGACAAAAUGAGCAUGCUGAUUUGCUAGCUAAGUCAGCAGCACAGGGGCUGCCCUUACCUUCGGAUGUGUUCUUCGAAACAAUAAAAGCACCUUCAGUGGAACUUCUUGAAAGAGCAGUCCUCAAUAUAUCUCCUGUUUAUAGCGAAGACUGGAGAACUGAGAUCAUCUCUUACCUUCAGGGUAAAUUCCUUUCAGAUGACGAAACUUAUAACAGGAGGAUAGAGGCAAGAGCUCGUCCAUAUGUCAUGAUAGAAGGGGAGUUGUACAAGCAUGGAGUUUGUGCUCCAUUACUCAAGUGUUUAUCUAGAGCCGAAGGUAUAGAAUUGAUGAAAGAAAUACAUGCAGGCCUGUGUGGAUCUCACAUUGGAUCUAGGCUGUUACUUGGAAAAGUUUUCCGUCAAGGGUUUUAUUGGCCGAAGGCAGCUUCGGAUGCAGCGGAAUUAGUUCAAAAGUGCGAAGGUUGUCAGAAAUGUGCAAGAGAUCAAAAACAACCUUCGUCCUUAACCCAGCUCAUACAACCCAUCUGGUCAUUGCAAAGGUGGGGCCUUGACUUGUUAGGUCCGUUACCACCGGCCCAAGGGAACUUAAGAUAUGUUGUAGUGGCUGUGGAAUAUUUUUCUAAAUGGAUUGAGGCAAAGCCUUUAGCCACAAUAACUUCGGCCACCAUUCAAAAGUUUUUCUGGCAGAAUAUUGUUUGUCGUUUCGGGGUACCAAAGGCCAUCACUGUAGAUAAUGGAACACAGUUCGACUCCGAAGCUUUCAGAAAUUUCUGUGAUCAAAUUGGUACGAAGAUCCAUUUCGCAUCAGUUAGGCAUCCGGAGUCAAACGGACUCGUUGAAAGAGCCAAUGGCAUUAUAAUGACAGGAAUAAUGAAGUUAAUCUUCAAUCAACCCAGGGGAAAGUGGCCAGAUCAAUUAAUCAAAGUGGUAUGAAGCCACAACACAACAAUAUCAAGGUCAACAGGCUUUACUCCAUUCAAACUAUUGUUUGGUGACGAAGCAAUAACUCCGGAGGAAGCCAAAACUGGAUCAAUAAGAGUAGUAGCUUCGGCAGAAUCAGAUUCUGAAGCUGUUCAUUCUGUGGAAAAAGAUGCUAUAGAAGGGAUCAGGCUUCAAGCUGUGGAGAACAUCAAUAAGUAUCAAGCCGAAACAAUCAAAUGGCGUGAUAGAAAGGUUCGGCUAAAGAAUAUUGAGCCAGGACAUUUGGUGCUUCGGCGAGUGGCUAACCCAGAUACAGUGGGCAAGUUGCAGUUGAAAUGGGAGGGACCUUUUUUGGUAGCAUCUUCGUCAAGACCCGGUUCAUACAGAUUGAAGGAUAUGGACGGCAACGACAUUCCUAGAUCUUGGAAUGCGGAUGAGCUUCGGCGAUAUUAUGUGUAACUUGAUGUAAUUUUUUAUAUUUUUUCUUUCAUGGCACCCUUUUCCUUUCUGAAGGGGGAGGAAGGUUUUUAAUGGGGCCAUCAUAUGUAAUUUCCUUUUUUAGUUCUAUAAGAGCAAAAUCCCCCAAGGAUGUAAAUGUAAAAGCUGAGAACGCACCAUCGAGUGCCGAAAAGAAAACAGGGAAGAAGCUCCAAAGUCGUUCCUAAGGGAAUACAGAGCUUACAGCGAAAAGUCAACGCUGAUUCCGCCGAAAGUAAAAGGCGAAGAAGCUCCAAAGUCGUUCCUAAGGGAAUGCGGAGCUUACAGCGAAAAGUCAACACUGAUUCCGCCGAAAGUAAAAGGCGAAGAAGCUUCAAAGUCGUUCCCAAGGGAAUGCAGAGCUUACAGCGAAAAGUCAGCGCUAAUAUGUGAUUGUUUCUAAGGAAAUAACGGUUGUGAAUAUGGCUUCGGAUAUGUGUUUGGACAUUCAUUUGCACAUCACAUUACAUCAUAACAUUUGCAUUCAUAAACAUUCAUCCAGGCAUAUGUAGGAUAACCAUCAUCAUAGCAUAAGUGGCUGCUUCGGCAAAAAGAAAAAAAAAGAAGAGCUUCGAAAAAAAGGGAAAAGUUGUUUUUUAUGCUUCGCUGUGUACGAAAAGAAGGGAAGGUGUUUUUUCGCCUUCGGCUCAAAAAGAUAAUUUCGUCCACAUCAAAGCACCUCUCAUACAUUAAUGGAAGGGUAAGAGCAUAUUACAAGGUAUGAACAGAAUUCAUUAAGAACAAGUUUAGUCAUAUUUACAAAAGUUAUCUCAAAAUUUUCUUAAGUCUGUCUACAGUCUACUCCUAUUUGAUCUUCAUGGGGCCUCAGCUUCGGCGACAUUCUCUUUAAGCAUCGGUCUCGGCUUCGUCAUCCUACAUAAAUUAAGUUGUUGUAGGUCAAAAUCAAGCUUGAAGGAAAAGGUAAACACAAGGUAUGAUUUCUUACUGGUUCAAGAUGACUCCGAGCUUCUUUUCCAGCCUUUUCUCGCCCGCCUUUUGUCCAUAUCAUCUUUACAAAUCUAUUAGAAAUGCUUCGGGCGAGAUCAGGAAUAUCAUCUAGAAUUGAUGGUGAUAGAGUGAAAUUGGGCUUAUUGACAAUUUUUCCAUGAUCGCAGCCAGCUUUUAGGAAAGCUGCAGCAGUGCCCCGAGAAGGUACCCAGGCGCAGAAGUCACCGUGCCCGGCUAUAACUUCGUCAAGCUCAUCAAUUUCACCUUCAAUAUGUUCGAAGGUCUUUGGUAAAUCUUCAGCUGACGGGGUGAAUUUCUCACUGCUAGCUCCAACUGAGUGGAAGAUUUUUCUCAGUCGUUGAAUACAUUUGUUGCUAAAUUCCAAACAUUUGUCUUGAAGGCCUGCCAAUAAUUUUUUCAAAUCUGAAUUUUGUUGGACUUCGGCUUCAAGUUUUGCAUUAAGUUCUUGCUUUUCUUGUUCAAACUGUUCAGAUUAGCAGAGAAGCUUCGUAUUCAAUUCUGUCAUUUUAGCUUCGGCUUCUGCCAAUAAGCCUUCAGUUGCCUGAAGCUCGAAGUUCUUCUUUUCAAUAGUAGCUGAUUGCUCUUUUAUUUUGAUUUCUAAAUUUUCAAUUAUAACCUCGUGUUUUUUGUCUUCCAGAUCUUGCUGCAUUUUCAAAGCUUUGCUCAACAGCAUACUCUGCACGUAAACAACCUUCGUUAGAUAUGACUUCAUUAUUAAAAACAAUAAAAGUCAAGGGAAAAGUAGUUCACCUUGAAAUUGGAAUAAAAUAAACUACCAACGAUAUGUUGUCGACGGUAGCGGCUAAUGUUCGUUUCCAGCUUCGGAAAACCAAUACUCUUUGACAGAGUACCGAUAACCUUAGCUCCAGUUUGAUCCCGGAUACAUUCUAAUUUUUCAUCAUCAAUACCUCCGAAGAGGAGUGCUCCUGGUUUAUAUCCGCAAGAUUUGGCAUACUCUUUAAGCUCUUCUAUUUCGGUUUUUGACAAUUUUUCUCCAACUAAAUUUUGAAACAUGAAGGCCUCGUCCUCUGAAGCUUCGUCAGCAAUUCCCUUUUCUUUCCCAGACACUGCGGCCAUGGCCUCUUCGGCGGCAGUAGUAGCUUCUUCUGUGGCCAUGUCUAGCAGCAUUUUGUCGAUGUGUUCGAUUGUGCUUUCCAAGUUCAAAUCUUCAAUUGAGGUAGCUUCGGCAGCCGCGACCUCCGAAGGUGUGAUUUCAAUAUUUGUUAUUUCCUCAGCCGCUGAUAUCUUCUGAGCUAAAGCUCUCGGUGGUGUCUUGUCAAUGACUUCUGUCACUGCGAUGAUUCUUUGUCUCUUUGUUUUAGUCGUUUUCUUCAUUUUUUCGGGCUCCUUUUCCUUCUGAAAAAACUUUGUCAGUUGAGGCCUCAAUGGACUUAGCUUCGCAGGCAGGGAUUCAGUCAUUACCUUCAAAAUUUCUUCCACGUCAGCGGCAGAGCGUGAUGCGGGAGUCUCCUCUUCGUCGGAUAUUUUUUGCUUCGGAGAUAGUACUUUCCUCUUCUUCGGAAUAUUCUUCUUUUUUGGUGGUUCUUUCUCAUCUUCAUUUAAAGCUUCGGUUACCCUUUUCCUUUUCCGGCCUUCGAUACCUUUAUUCAGAUUUUCGUAGUCAAGAUAUUCAAAACCCAGGGCGUCCAACACUCGAUUCAGUCUUCGCUUCGGACGGGUACCGAAGGCCGCAGUCAUCAGCUGAUCCUCUUUUUUGGAGUAAUUACCGAGUAUUUCAUUGCACAUUAUUUCAAUUGUGUCCAACCACUCUUGGCAAGGUGUUUUAAAAUAUUUCUUAAACUUGUAAUAGUAAGGUAACCGCACAAGUUCCCCUUCUUUCUUCUCCCCCUCUAGCUUCGGCAUUUCCCAUUCUUUUAAGGUAGGAAAAACCCGGAAAGCCAAAAACUCUUGGACCAAGUCUCUUGUGCUGAUAUGCUCUGAAAUAAUUUUAAACUCAGCCAACGCUUUUUGGGUUGGACCUUCUGGUGUCAUGUUGCAAUGAGGUCGGGUUUCUCCGAAGAUUAGUUCAAGCGGACUCUGCACGAGCUUCUCCUUGUCGUCAUCAACCUUGACGUAGAACCAUUCUGAUUUCCACCCUGCCGGCCACUUGCUUCGAUAGCUGAUGACAGGAAACUUUGUGGUUUUCCGAUAGGCAAAAUUAUAGCAACCAAAGUUAUCAUGCAAUCCAUCCUUUCUAGCCUUCGUCUGAUAAUGCAGUUCGUGAACUCGACAAAAGCUGUCCGCAAACGGCUCCACCGCCUGGCUUCGGAGGGCCCAGAUAUAGACGCUGAGCCUAACGAUAGCGUUAGGAGUCAGCUGAUGAAAGUAGAUCCCAAACCUCUUCAAUACAUCUGCAAUAAUCCCAUGCAGGGGGAAUCUCAACCCAGCCUUUAGAAAGCUCUUGAAAAUAACUAUUUCGUCCUUCUCUGGCUUCGGGGUAGUUUCUUCCCCUCCGAAGCGAAGUAGCUUCUUCUGACUUUCAUUAAAAUAACCUGAUUUCACCAUCUUGGACAGAUCAGCCUUCGAAACAGUCGACUUUCCGAAGUCCAAGUGGCUGGGCUUACUUGGCAUGGCAAUAUGGUAAUCGUCUUCGGAAUCAGUUUCCUCAAUGUUUUCUUCUUCCGCUUCGGCAGUCGCCUGUUCCGCCUCAGCAGUGGGGAUUUCUUCCGGGGUUACCAGUCCGGAUCGUUGCAUCGCUUCGGAGAUGGGAACAGUCUCCGAUCCUUCAGCUUCACCUCCCUCACGUUCAACCCUAUCGGUAGAAUGCACUCUGGCCAUUUAACUCUGAAUUUUUUGGGAACUAAAUGCUUUUUCUUCCGAAGCUUUUUCUUCUGGCGAAGUAGGCUUCAAUCUGGAGCUUCGUCUGGUUCUGAGAGUCAAGCUUCGGCUAUGGUUAAGAAUUUUGGCAGCAAAACAGUGCAAAUAGCAAUGAAUGCUGUGGUAACUUCACACCUACCCGUCUGUUUAUAUAGUGAUGCAGGCAAGAAGGCGAGUCGCCAGGAUUUUUACACCAGGCGAACAGCUGGUACCCACUGAACACUGGGCCACAGAACCCGAGAAGGUGAAUCGCCAGGACACGUGUAACUGCUGCAUGGCGGGGCCACCUUGCGCUCGGAUUAUUUUAAUCGUUUCUCGGCAACGAGCUCAGGGAAGGUGUUUUUUGGACCUUCGGCUUCCCGAAGCCUGAAAUACUUUUUUCACGGAUCAAGCUCGUUACGAAAAACGAUCUAGCACCGCGAAGGGGCUACUGUUGGGACCAUGCUUCGUCGCCGAAGGUCAUGCAGGAAGAAGCAGCUUCGGCUGAAGCUGUUUGUACGAGAUACCGAAGGAUGCAGUUCAUGAAGCUUCGGAAAUGCAAACCGACUUAAAGAUAGAAUGACCCUUUAGCCCAUAAGAGUUCGAGUCAUUGUUGUAAACUUUUAUGAGGGGUAUGAUUGUAAUUCCUCACAGGCUGGGUCCUGUGCCUAUAAAUAGUGAACAGUAUUCCUUUACUGUUCACGAUUUUCCGGUAUUUGCAAUCGCUUCACUCGGGAACCAAUCUUUGCCAAGGCAGAGGUAUAAUUGUAUUCAACACUUAAAUAUAAUGAAUGGAUAAAAUAUGGUUUAUUUAUGAUUCAUUUACCUUUGAUAUUCUAUAUUUUAUGUCAUCUUAUACAAUCUGUUAGAAUUCAAUUACGGAGAUAUGACCUUCGUAAUUGUAUUGCUAUCAACCUUCGUCCAAGGCCCAAUAUCCCCAAGGGAAUAAUGCUUCGUUGGACGAAGAACAUUAGCAUUUAACAUUUUAUGUUGCCUUGUUCUUAAUUCAUAGCAUUUGAGAACAAGUUCCCAACAGUUGCAUUAGAUGUUAUUUAUUGCCACGACCUUUAAAAGUGGUUGCAAUAUAUGGACCAUUUUGCCACUUUUUUUGUGCAUUGCGAUAACCAUGACUUUCGUUGCAAGAGAAAGGUGUUAUUGCGACCACGAGAACAGUUGUUGCAAAAUCACCCUAAUGCCAUGACAGAUAUUGCAACAACAAUAUUUUUGUUACAUUAGAUGUUAUUUAUUGCCAUGACCUUUAAAAGUGGUUGCAAUAUAUGGACCGUUUCGCCACUUUUUUGUGCAUUGCGAUAACCAUGACUUUCGUUGCAAGAGAAAGGUGUUAUUGCGACCACUAGAACAGUUGUUGCAAAAUUACUCUAGUGUCACACCGGAUAUUGCAACAACAAUAAAGUUAUAGCAUUAGGUGUUAGUUAUUGCCACAACCUUUAAAAGUGGUUGCAAUUUAUGCACCUUUUUGCCACUUUACUUGUGCAUUGCAAUAAUCAUGACUUUUGUAGCAAGAGAAAGAUGUUAUUGCUACCACUAGAAUAGUUGUUGCAAAAUGUCCCUAGUGGCUCACCAGAUAUUACAACAUCAGUAAAGUUGUAGCAUUACGUGUUAGUUAUUGCCACAGCCUUUAAAAGUGGUUGCAAUAUAUGCACAUUUUUGCCACUUUAUUUGUGCGUUGCAAUAAUCAUGACUUUUGUUGCAAGAGAAAGAUGUUAUUGCUAUCACUAGAACAGUUGUUGCAAAAUGUCCCUAGUGGCUCACUGGAUAUUACAACAUCAGUAAAGUGGUAGCAUUAGUAGCAGUGUAGAGCGAGACGCGGCAUAUGCGUAGAAUUCUUUUUUUCAUCCAAACCGACCGGGCGUGCGGGGAGGGUGAGGCCAUCCUGUGUCAUAUACUCUCAUGUCUGCGCAAGGCCAAGGGAAUCGUAGUAUAUACGGACCUACCGCGCGCGACAUGUCUAAGUCGUGAUCCAACUUUGCGUUCUGUGUCUGGAUCGUGAUGGGAAAUAUAUUCAAUUUAUUGAUACGUUACAAGAAAAAUACAAAGAACAGUCUAGAAGUUUCUGUUCUCUCAGACACACAUCAAUAAAACACGCAGGUGAAUAAAAUACAAGGAAAAGGAUCACAUGAAUCUUCUAAAAUCUGAUAUAUAACCAACAAUAGAAAAGAAUACAAGGAAAAUGAUCACAAGAAUCUUCUAAAAUCUGAUAUAUAACCAACAAUAGAAAAGAAUACAAGGAAAAUGAUCACAAGAAUCUUCUAAAAUAUGAUAUAUAACCAACAAUAGAAAAGAAUACAAGGAAAAGGAUCACAAUAUUCUUCUAAAAUCUGAUAUAUAACCAACAAUAGAAAAGAAUACAAGGAAAAUGAUCACAUGAAUCAUACAAUUUCCAAUUGUUGUCCGCAUGCCUAUACUAGUACAUAUUACAGCCGCCACUGCCUGCAGGGGACUCAAACUGCCGCCCGCUAGGACACACAACAACCAGCAGCUAGGGACUCCACGCCUUCAGGUGAUCCUUAUUCAAGCACACCUUCGCCAACCCCAUCCAACAGUCAGCUUUAGACGGUUUGCACUACAACAGAAAAUAGGAGACAACCAUCAGGUAAUCCUUAUUCUUAAUCACAACGAUGUAACUAGUUUAGACAAGUGAUCCAUGCACGGUUGCACCAUGAUUCCUAAGAGUUUCCGCCAUUUUAGGUUCUAGCCAAAUAAUAUUCAGUUUUAUGGCUGUUGUACCUGCAAAAAAAUUAUACAUCGUGUCCGUUAAAGUCAAAAUAAAUGUGACUAAUGGUGAUAAUAGGGAAGGAUGGCAUAGAAGAGAUUAAAGCAUUUACGAUAAUAUAUAAAGUUAAUGGACAACAUUGCAGUGGCUCGCGUGUGGAAGUAAAUGCACACUAAUAUCUAUAAACUUUUUAUUAAAAAAAUCUGCAGGUUCUCGUGUUCUAAAUAGUACAUGGUUUCAUCUUGUUUUGAGCCAUUAACAGCAAACCUGGAAAGUUUUUUCGUUUGUGUGUCAUUUCAGAAGUCACCUACGUUUGCUUUCAGACAAAAUAGGAACACACCCUUGUUGCAGCUCAAAAACCAAAUAAUACAUUGAAAUUGAACACCCAAGUGCCACGUGAAAUGAAGUGUUGUGUGCAAAAACUCUAUAGGUACAACGAAUGAAUAAUUGAUAUACUAUGUCUAGUUAUUGGGCUAUUAGUUUGUGAGCGUUAAGUAGUACUGAGUUGUAGUUUAAUGCCAAGGAGGUUGACCGGUAGAGUCCACAAAGCAUUAGUAAAAAUAUUGGUUAAGAUCUUGUCUCUGUCAGACUUGAUUGUUUUUCAACAUUAUUCAGAAAGAGAUUAGCUACAUAAGGGGUCAGAGAGUGGAUAUUUCUGUGAAAGAAAGUAUGUAUAUAUUUACAAACCCCUGCAUAUCAGCUUUGAUUGGAAGAGCUCCGAGAUUUAGAGAAAGCAAAUAUGUAAGAAAAAGAACCCAUGCACAUAUUUACCAGAAGCUAGUACGUACCAUGCAUAUAUGAUUAGGUAGUCAAACCAUCUCUGAAUCUGGGCACAACUGACAAAAUAAAGAGGAACUGUCAAGUCAGAAAUAAAAUACAGUUAUAUACUUUAAGUUAUUAGGUUUGUGAGAUACUGUUAGAGUAUAUGUGGUUAGGCCCAUGUGGCUAGGCCCAUGUGGCCCAUGUACAAACACUAUAUAGCUACCCUCUAGGGUUAGCCCUAAUAAUAUACAAUUAUUACCUCUAACAUGGUAUCAGCCUAGCCUAGGUUUUCCUCCAGCCGCAUGGCAGCCGCUGCUAGGGUUUUCUCCAGCCGCCAGGUCGCCGCCACCAGGAGCCCCUGCGCGCCAGGCCGCCGCCGACAGGAACCAGCGUGCGCCCAGGAAUCCGCGCCGCCGCCGCCAGGACCCAGCGCCGCCACCAGGACCUGCCCCUGCGCUCCAGGCAGCCGCCUCCAGGAGCCCCUGCGUGCCAGGCCGCGCCUCCAGCCAGCCGACCGAGCUCCGCGCGCAGCUCUGGUCCGCGCAACGCGCCUCCAGCCAACCGAGGAGUCGCGCGCCCCUGCACGCCAGCGACCCUCCCAUGGCUGGCGAGCAGCCUCCUCUCUCCCCCUCCACUUUCCCUCCCCUCUCCUCCUAGGCGCGGGCCACCUCCCCUGGCAGGCCCGCCAUCGCCGCCUCUCCUACCGCUGUUGCGGCCGUCGUGCGUGGGCGUGCCCCCCUGGCCCCUCCCCACCCCCUCCCAGUCGCCGCCGUUGUCUCCCCUGAAGGUGCGCAGGCGCUGGUGGCAGGGGCAUGGGGGUCCGUGCCCGCCUCUGCGCUCGAGCCGACGUGGGGGGCCGGGCCCACCACCGCCGGUGGGGCCCUCACCGCUGCGCGCACCGCCUCGGCCCUUGCGGCUGUGGCGGAUGCAGUUCCCGCGUGGGUUGCCGGUCCAGAGGACCCUCCCCCACCAAUUCCCCCGUCGCUGGUCGUCGAUCCGCCCUCGGUCAUCGAUCAACCGCCUCCUCCACCGGUCGCCCACCAAGGAUACACCGUCGCCGCCCUCACUGCUGCCCGUGCGGAGCACGCGGCGCGACAGGCCCACUUGUGGGAAGCGGCCCUCAUAUGGGAGCGCGAGCAUGAGGCCGCCGACGUUAUCGCUGCUCAGAUUGCUGCGGCGGAACAGCUCCUCGCCUCGCCUGCGGCCCACGACGGCGGGGCCACCUCCUUUGACACCAUGGGCGGCGUGUACGGCGUCCCAACCGCACCGACUGUCGGAACCGGGCCCCGCACCAUCCCUACGAUGCUCUGGCAUGACUCGGCUGACCCGCUCGUGGCUCAGCUCCACCUUCAAGCUGGGAGUGUCCAGAACAUUCGCCUGAUGGUUCCUGUCGUCCUGGAGCCUGAGUCACCGUCCUACGCACGCUGGCGGUACUUACUCCUCCUCACCCUUCGCCGCUAUGCUCUGGACGACCACGUCCUCUGCGACCCCACCAGCAUGGCGCCGACUGCCGCGUGGGUGCGCCUUGAUAGCAUCGUGCUCACCUGGAUCGUGGGGACGAUCUCCGUUGACCUCCACAGCCUCCUCCGGAACCUUCCUCACGCUCGGGCUGUUUGGCUUGCCAUCGAGGGCCAGUUCAUGGGCAACGCCGAGGCCCGGGCUCUCCGCCUCGACGCCGCUUUUCGCACCUUCGUCCAGGCAGACCUCAGUGUCAGUGCAUACUGCCGCAAGAUGAAGACCAUGGCGGACUCACUUGGCGAUCUGGGUUGCCCUGUGGAGGACCGCAUCCUAGUCCUCAACGUCCUCCGCGGCCUCGGCGAUCGCUAUACCCACCUCCGGUCGUUGAUCAUGCGCUAGCGCCCCUUUCCUACCUUCCUCCAGGUUCGCGACGACCUCGCCCUGGAGGAGAUCACUCUGGGUGCUCAGGCUGCAUCGAUCUCCGGCCCGGGGUCCUCGUCCUCUUCGACAGCACUGGCGGAAUUCACCCCGACCCGUCCACCUACUCCGUCACAGUCUGCCCUUGGCCCUCGCCCUCCCGGUCCGAGCAUGGGCGGCGGGGGUUGAGGUGGUAGAGGCGGGGGCGGUGGUGGUCGUCGCCGCCGUGGUGGCCGCGGUGGUGGUGGUGGUGGUGGUUCCGGCGGUGGUGCCCGUGGCCACACACCGACGCCGGGACCCUAGCAGGGUGCGCCUUGGCCCACUUUCCACCACCCGUGGUCAGGGCACAUCUCCAUGUGGCCGUUCCAGGGGCCAGGCUCUGAGGCUCGGCCCCCGGCGGCCAUGUUCGCUGGUGCGCAGCCAGGGUUCGCCUUCUCCUCUCCGUCGCCCUGGACCUCAACACCUACCGCUUCGUCGUGGCCCACGCCACCGGCUACUCCACCGUGUGGGCUGGUUGGUUGGGACAUGGCCGCCCUGGCUGCCUUCCAGACUCCUAGUCUGACUCCGCUGAUGGGUCCCGAGUGGAUCGCGGACACCGGUGCUACCUACCACACCACCCCCGACCCUGGUAUACUCACCUCUGUUCGCCCUCCUUCUUCCUCUCUCCCUUCGUCCAUCAUGGUGGCGAAUGGCUCGUGUCUUCCUGUCACAUCUGUGGGUGUCGUCGGCCCUCCCGGCUCUUUUUGCAUUCCCGAUGUUCUUGUCGCUCCUUCUUUGGUCCACAAUCUUCUUUCUAUUCGUCGGUUUACUGCUGAUAAUUCUUGUUCUGUCGAGUUUGACUCUUUUGGUCUUACUGUGAAGGACUCGGCAACUCGGCGCCCCCUCCUCAGAUGUGACAGCACCGGCCCCCUCUACACCCUUCGGCUUUCGCACGCCACAUCUUCUUCGUCUUCGUCACCUGACACAGCUGGUGUUUUUGCUGCCGCCACGUCUUCUACCACCUGGCAUCGUCGCCGUGGUCACCCCGGACGCGAUGCCUUGAUGCAGCUUACUCGUAGUGCCACUAUCCCAUGUACUAGAUCCCAUGAUGAGCAUCUUUGUCAUGCGUGCAAGUUAGGCUGCCAUAUUCGUCUUCCUUUUUCUUCUUCUUCCUCACAUGAUACUCAUGCAUUUGAUCUUGUACACUUUGAUUUGUGGACUUCACCUAUUACCAGUAUGUCAGGCUACAAAUACUAUCUUGUGGUGCUUGAUGAUUUUUCUCAUUAUGUGUGGACUUUUCCUUUGCAUGCCAAGUCUGAGACUUUCCCCGCCCUCCGCCACUUCUUCGCCUAGGUGUCCACUCAGUUCAGCCUCACCAUUAAGGUCGUUCAGUGUGACAAUGGUCGGGAGUUCGAUAACUCCACCUCCCGCGACUUCUUUCUCUCCCACGGGAUGCAGUUGCGGAUGUCUUGCCCGUAUACCUCCUCCUAGAACGGCAAGGCUGAGCGCAUGAUCCGCAUGACCAACGACACCAUCCGCACUCUUCUUCUCCAGGCGCACCUUCCCGCACGUUUCUGGGCCGAGGCCCUCCACACCUCUACCUACCUCCUCAACCGUCUCCCUUCCACUGCGUGCCCGGCCCCCACUCCUCACCAGGCACUCUUCGGUACCCCUCCGCGCUAUGACCACCUCCGUGUCUUCGGGUGUGCUUGCUACCCGAACACCGCUGCCACUGCUCCUCACAAACUAGCACCCCAUUCCACCCUCUGUGUGUUUCUCGGGUACUCCCUGGACCACAAAGGCUACCGCUGUUUUGACCUCUGCUCUCGCCGGGUCCUCAUCUCUUGCCAUGUGGCGUUUGAUGAGUUCGUAUUUCCAUACUCCUCCACCACCACACCACUCUCCUCCGACCCUGACCUUGACCUCUUCACUCUCUUUCCGACUGACGCGGUGGUCGAGCCACCUCUCCUUCCUCUCUCUGCAGGUACUCGCUCACCACCUGUCGGUCCUACUUCCGGCCCGGUACCUUGCUCGGGUCUGGUGGUGUCGCCUACGGUGGUGUCGCCUCUCUGCGGAGCCCCGUCUCCGAUCGCCCCCGAGCCGAGCGAGGGUGGUGGGACUACAUCGCCUACGGGGCUGUCGGUUCCGACCCCUCUGGCCCGCUUCGCCCAGCCGGUGUGGGUCUACCAGCGUCGGCUGCCGCCACCGGGGUUCACACCUCCACCGUCGCCGCCCCUGCCGCUGUCACCACCGGUGGCCCAGUCCCCGCCAGGGACACCUACACCUCCCGCGGCCACCCGCGGCCCGUGUCGAGACGCCAGUGUACCACCCACCGCGACCCACGGCACGUCCACCCAAUGGUGACGCGGCACGCGGCUGGUACCCUACCGCCUCGUGUCCUGGCGGCCACGACCGCAGACUCGCAGGUUUCUCCGGUACCCUCCUCCCUCCGCACCGCCCUGCUGGACCCCCACUGGCGUCGAGCGAAGGAGGAGGAGUACGCGGCGCUCAUUGCCAACCAGACGUGGGAUCUGGUGCCCCAUCCGCUCGGCACUAACGUCGUCACCGGCAAGUGGAUCUGGACGCACAAGCGGCGGGCUAAUGGUACCCUGGAGCGGUACAAGGCUCGUUGGGUUCUUCGGGGCUUCACUCAGCGCCCUGGAGUCGAUUACGAUGAGACCUUCAGCCCGUUUGUGAAGCCGGCCACCGUCCACACGGUGCUAUCGCUGGCCCUUGCUCGCUCCUGGUCAGUUCACCAGCUCGAUGUCAAGAAUGCCUUCCUGCACGACGCUCUCAUCGAGACCGUCUACUGCUAUCAGCCAGCGGGGUUCGUCGACUCCUCUUGCCCUGACAUGGUCUGCCGACUCAACAGGUCCCUCUACGGCCUCAAGCAGGCCCCCCGGGCGUGGCACUCUAGACUGGCUACGUUCCUGGUGACACUGGGCUUCGUGGAGGCCAAGUCAGACACACCUCUAUUCGUCCACCAUCAUGGAGCAGAGACUGCCUACUUGCUCCUCUACGUGGAUGACAUUGUCCUCACCGCCUCCAGUCAGUCACUUCUUCGCCGCCUCGUCGACGCGCUUCAGCGGGAGUUUCUGGUCAAGGAUCUGGGUGUGCUUCACCAUUUCCUGGGGGUCACUGUUGAGCCUCGCCCCUCAGGACUCCUACUUCACCAGCGGUAGUACACUCUUGACAUUCUGGAGCGGGCCAAGAUGAUUGAUGCAAGCCCUGCUCUACCCCAGUCGACACACAGGCGAAGCUCUCUGAGGCCAUGGGUGACCCAGUCAAGGACCCCACCGGGUACAGGAGUCUUGCAGGUGUCCUUCAGUACCUCACCUUCACUAGGACAGACAUCUCUUACAUUGUGCAGCAGGUCUGUCUCCAUAUGCACGACCCCCGAGAGCCCCAGCUCGCGGCUCUCAAGCGCCUCCUCCGCUACCUCCGAGACACCGUCGACUACGGGCUGCUUCUUCACAUGUCUACCUCCUCCGAGCUGGUCGUCUACACCGACGUUGACUAGGCCAGGUGCUCGGAAACUCGGCGCUCCACCUCCGGCUACGCCGUCUUCUUAGGCGGUAACCUGGUGUCCUGGUCGUCGAAGCGCCAGCCGGUCGUCUCCCGCUCGAGUGCUGAGGCGGAGUACCAUGCCGUGGCCAACGACGUGGCGGAGGCUGCGUGGCUCCGGCAGCUCCUCGCCGAGCUCCACAGUCCCAUCUCCAAGAGCACGUUGGUCUACUACGACAACGUCAACGCCGUCUACCUCUCCACCAACCCGGUGCAGCACCAGCGGACCAAGCAUGUGGAGAUCGAUCUACACUUUGUCCGAGAUCUGGUCGCCGUCGGUGAUGUUCGGGUCCUCCACGUCCUGACCACCUCCCAGUUUGCCGACAUCUUCACCAAGGGUCUUUCGUCCUUGACCAUCACCGAGUUUCGCUCUAGCCUCAACAUCAGUAGUGGCUAGUUGAGUCUGUGGGGGGAUCCUAGUGUGUGAUGUACUUCUUGUUUUCGGAUCCAGUCUGUAAACUCCGCUGCGACGGAUGUUCAGACUACGGGGGGUGUUAUAGUAUAUGUGGUUAGGCCCAUUUGGCUAGGCCCAUGUGGCCCAUGUACAAACACUAUAUAGCUACCCUCUAGGGUUAGCCCUAAUAAUAUACAAUUAUUACCUCUAACAGAUACUCACAGAUAUCUUUAUUUUUCAUUUUCUGCAAGGCAAAUGAGCACAUCUAUCUCAAUCAUUGCAAGCAAACCGAUGAAGAACAGGGGGGACACAUCUCACAUCACCGCUCGGAUGGAACACACUUUGCCAGACGACCAAGAGGAAUUCGGAGAGUAAGAAGAGGCAGGCAAAAAUAAAAGCCCUAGCAGCUAGGAAACGUAGAUUGGAGAGUGUGUCAAACCUCUGAGUAGCAACGGGACGAAGGAAAAUGAGUGCGCGAGGGAGGAGGGGACACAGAGGUGUCGUUGCCGAACCCUACAUCGCUUUUCCCCUUCUCGAACUCUAGCAUAACGCGAGAGAGGGAGGGGAUCCAGCACCGCGAUGCCGGGGGAUGCAGGCGCCGACCAUGGAGAGGGAUGGGUAUGGAGCACCGCGGCGCUGCGCCGAGGGUGAGGGGCAUCCGCGUUUGGCCGGGAAGCGUCAAGGUCGGGGAUGGACCUCCAGGCGGAGGCUGGCUAGGAGGCUAAUUAGCAGUACCGUCGAGACGCGCCAUCGUUGAUUGCCGAUAGAACGCGCAGAACCAGAAGGGGUAGGUAAGUAGCCACCGAGUGACCCCUAUCGAACGGCUGAUAUUUCUUUUCAUAUGUUUAAAUUUAUAUCUUGCAGCGAAAAUAAAAACCAACGUCUUUUCUUAAAAAUGCUACUCUUUAUAAAGAUUGGUCGUACUACGUAAAUGUAUUACCGUUGUCAUAUAAAAUACUUCAUAUAUUAUAACUAUUUAUCUUAAUUUAAACUAAUUUAAACAAAUAUGUAAUUAUAGUAAUGUGACGCACUAAAUUUAGGCAAAAAAGGAGCCUAUUACCGCACCUAUUACCUACUCUAUCUUUUUUAUUCUAAUUGUUGUAAGCCAUCCUUCGUUCAGUUUCAUCAGUGGGAAUUCAUCCUUCGUUCCUCUUCAUCUCUACUAUCUAUUAAGACGAUAGUGGAGACCAAGGCACUGCCCCCACACCCUACCCGACGUGCACACGCACGCCAUCGCCCUCAUCCGAGAGCCACCCCGACACCCCGCUCUCCCGUCUUCUUUGCUUCGGCGCCACCGCCUCCCGCAGGCCCACCCAUGCGCGCGCUUCUCCCACCAGAUGCACGUGUGCCCGCACUCAUACGUCUACCUCCAACGACGCGUGCCCGCUCUGCAGCGGGAUCAUCGGCCCCCUCGUGCGUUGCCCUCGGCAGGCGGCCCUUGCCCUCUGAUGCCCUCGCGCUGGCGGUGUCUCCCACCGACGAGGCGUUCGCGCUGCACGAGGUGCUGGUGCGACACUGUCACGGUGUCACGGACCUGCAGGCGGAUCCUACCCUAUAGGUUCGUACAACUCCCACCCAUCCUUAGAUCGACGCGUGCCGCCAUUCGCCUCCGCGAUAUAUGCGCCCCCUAACUCACGGCCUCACUGCGGCGCCCCUUUCCUCCCCUUGCCUUGAUGCACAGGCCUAGAAGGAGAUCCAAUCAGCCAAGUCUCACUUUCUCCACCAUGCUCCACCGCCACACGCCUAUUGGAGUGUCGCUGCCUCCUCGACCAUCGCAUCACCGACAUCACAACCCGCAUCGCCGACCUCACAACCAACGUCCUUCUCCUCGCGGCCUACACGGCCCCUCCACUCGCACUACAGUAACCACAGCGACAAUGGCGUGUGGCGGGCUACACAUUCGGGUGCUCCUUCCAGGCAUCCAACUUACUCCCUCCAGCUCCGGUCCCCCACGCUAUGAAGGUGUCGUGCAACUGCGCACAGGUGGAUGUGGGCCUCAGCGACAGCAGCUAUGCGAGGGGGAUGUGCCCAGUGGCACAUCCACUGGUACGUCCAUCUCGAUCCACCUGGUGCUUUGGUUUUUAGUACUCCGUUCUUGAGCCACUGCUUGGUUUGCUUGCUCCUAUUUUGGUUGGUUAGGAAGUCUAGAUUGCUUCGACAAAUGCAUCGUCUUGCUAUGUUAUGUGUAAUAUUUUCUCUGUUAUGAGCCCUGGAAUCAAAAUUUUUCUCCUGCGUCUGCUGCCUUCCUCCAUCCAGUUCCUUGUGGAUUUGCUUCUUGUGUGUUGUUGUGCUAAAUAAUACCUAUUUAAUUUUGCAAUUUCUUAGGUAGUCAAGUUUUGCACCUGCGUGUUGUUUCUUCGUGCUAUCAUAGUUCAUGAAGCUAACUUUGAUUUUAAAUUGGCAGCCUUAUCAGUACAGUUGGUACAUGAUUGAUGUUUUAUAUGUUUCUAACAAACAAAGUCAUGCCAUAGAAAUUGUGUCAGUCACAACAACUUAGUGCCAUUGCUAUCAUAACAUAAGCCAUACUUUAUAAUUUGGUGCUUUUCAAAAUGAAAUUUAGUGGAAUACAACUUGGGCAUGACUUUUCAUACUCUUUUGAACUGAUAUGGAUGCACACUUAGGAAAUAAUGACACAUGUUACAAAAAUUAAAUCAAAAGGUUAGCCAAUUCAACAUAAAGCAACAACGUUCCAUGGAUGUUGGUCUCAUGAUGAUAUUUUAGUAGUCUUGAAAAUAGAGAUGCCACACAACCGAUGAAUGGUGAAAUUAAGUUUUGCUUCAAAAAUUCGCAUAGAUGACAUAAUUGCAGACUUCAAAUUAAGAUAAUAUAAGUAAUAUUCUAUACCAACUUCUAUAGUCAUCCAAGCACCUUACCACAUAUCAUCUAAAGUUUGAAAUGCAUAGCUUAGAAGUUAUUGUUUUUUUACCAAAAAAUAUGUGUAAUACCAUGUUGUUUUUUUGGCUGAACUACUAAGUAACUUACCAUAACAUUGAGAAUUUUUGUUUUGGCAUGGUCCAUUGUUUUUGUAUAUCGUAGAAUCACUCCAGCCUCCACUCGUCAGUUUAGUUCCCAAAUGGCAAGGGUGCAAUCUCCUUCCUAAUCUGCUCUACUACAAGGGUUUUGAGCUGGGUGGCGGCGCGACGGCGGCCUGAGGCCCAAUAGCACCUCCGCCCGGCCCAGUCUCCCUUUGAUUAUUCUCUACUAGCUUGUCUCGUCAUCUCUGUCAAGCUGGAGCCGCCACCGUUUGUCUUCUCUGUCAAACACCAAGCAUUCAGGGUCCAGCCCCAGCCGGUCGCCGCUCCUGCCUACCUUUCGGUUCCAGCAAGCAAUCCCCGAGGAGCGAGCGGACAAGAGAAGAAAUCAAGAAAACCCGCCUACCCCGCACCAAAAUGUCAAACCACAACAAGUCCCAUCUGUCCCUCCCCCCGCCGCCAAGGGCCACCGACCAGGAGAUCACGUGCUCAUCUCUCAUGGAGUCCGUCUAGCUUCCGCUCGUCUGCACCCACUCCAAGCAACCGCAGCGGUGAGUUUGAUCAGGCCAAAAGGCCCUUCCUUGUUCCUUGCACUCCUCUACAUCGUUGCGCGACUUAGUUGAUUUACAUGAUUUCCUGUUAGUCUGAUGUCCUCCACCUAUUGUCAGAUUUUGCAUAGUCCCUGACUAGUGACUACACACUCAUCUCUGUUAGUCUGAUGUGCGCUACUGCGUUGAGAGUGUUUGUGUGACUUAUUGGCAUCGUUGUUUUGAAUAAAUCUGUUUGUUCAUAGGAGAUUAUAUUAGCCCUGUUGCAGCGUAGAUCAGGAUAUCAAACUAGGCCUCUGUCUGGUGUUUUUACAGUAGCAAAUGCAAACUUAAUUUUUCUUGUGUCAUGGUACCUGGAUCGUGUUCUGUCACUAAAAUUACUGCACAUAAUUCCAUUAAAUAAUAUGUUGUUAUACAUACAUGAUUUUUCUUUCCUAGCCCUGUUAGCAUCUAUUUUCCCUAACUAUGAUGGCGACUCAAGGAGGUUUGCCACCGACAAGCAAUGAAGCUAAUUUAUGCACCAACGACAAUGGUAGCCAACUUGGUACACGGAUUGUGGAAGAGAUUAUGGCUGGGAAGAACAUCUUUGAUCUUCCUAAUAAGUAAAAAUCUAUCUACCUAGAUUGUUCUCUACUACUUUGGCCUUGGCGCAGAUCAUAAUUAGACUAUAUUGCUUAGAAUAUAUUUGUGUGGCAGGUUGACGGGUGAGAUAUGGACCUUGAAAUUCCAUUGCAUUUGAACACAACCUGGAAAAGAAAUUGUCACAAUAAAUAUUGAUAAAGCUUAUGUUGCCUUUUACAACGUGGUGUACAUAAAAUCGAAACUUGGAUAUUCUGGGAGGGACUUCUUGUUUUACAAGAAACGAUGUGGCAUUGACCGAUCCAGGCUAUUGGCACUUGAUUACAUCCACCAAGAAGAGGCCAUGCUAUCUGAUAACGUGGAUGAGAGAAAAAUAAGUUUUGUGCUCACAAAAGAUCCACCCCGUGAUCUAGAGGUAAGCAUAACUCCCAUCAAGCGUCCAAGGCAGCGAACAAAUGUUGACGAAGAAACUAUAGAAGUGUCGAUUGAUGCAUAUAAGGAGUGGCUUGCAAUACUACAACAUGAUAAUCCAGAAACGGGUAAGUUAAGAUGUCAAACUCAUUACAUUAAAUACAUGAUAUGUUAUAGUUUCCACAGUUAAACUUACGUAUUGUUUAAGUGUAGAUUUAAUGGAUGACUUUAGGGAGGAUACGAUCAAAACAUAUAAAGAAUGGUUAAGGCAUCAAGGCGAUCUUCCAGAUAUCUGUGAUUUCUUUUAUUUACAGCGUACUAACAUAUAGUGUAUAUUUUUGCAAAUUGUUAGAGACAUAACUGAUGCCUAUGCUAUCCACAGUAUUGCAUGAACGACAAAGCAAUGAUGACCUAAUAUUAUCAGAUGAAGAAAUUCAUGGCAGCGGCAAACCUACGGCUGAUUGGCCAUCUCAUGCUAGACGUCAUAGGAAAAGAGAUCCUGGUAUAUUUUACUAAGAGUGUUUUUAUUCAAAUGUUGCAAUCUUCUACUUUGGAUAUUUCUACCCAUUCAUAUGUUAUUGGUAUAUAUGUAGAUAACGAUGGAGUCUUCAAAAAGGAGGGGAGUGGUACCCUUAAGGGUAUAGCAGCAGCUACCAAGCGAAUCAAGAACGACAAUCACAAACUUAAGAUUGAAUUUUCAUCUAAGCUUGGAGGUCCCGUAGGACCAAACACUCGCACUUUUGUGGAUGAAAUCGUAUUGUAUACAAAGAAAAAGGCACCACUCAUUGGAGUGAAAAAGUGGAAAGAUAUAGAGCUCAAUGUUAGAUCUUCUAUAGCAUAUGACGUACUGGUAUGUGCAAUUUCUUUAGUAACUAUUAGUUGCCUAGCAUGCUAUGGCACCGCUACUUCACCCGAGAUUAAGCCGUCUCAAACUUUCUUUGGUAUGAUCUACUGAGAUAUGGUCAACUAUUCACAAAUUACUAGACAAUUAACCAUCUCUUUGUAUCAAAACUGAAACAUCGAAGGUGGGAGUUUCCAAGAAAUGAGGACGUGCAUGAAAAGAUAUGGUCUAUUGCCAAGGAGAGGUACAAAGGAUGGCAAUCUGCAUUAAGCUCAACAUACAAGGCAUACAACAAUUAUGCUGAAAGAUGAAAAACAAGCCUGAAGAUGUAGACAUCGUAGAGUGGCAUUACCUGAUGCUGUAUUUUGGAUCUGAGAAAUUCCAGGUUCGAUAGCAUUUCCUUUACAAUGAUUGACACUUGCAUAAUAUCGAUGAUUCUAGCAUUUUAUUUAUUAAUUCAUUUACAAUUGUUAUUAUUUUGUAGAAAAUAAGUAGUCGGAACUUGGAAAACCGUCAGAAACAAAGAACAAAGCAUAUAAUGGGUUCUAGAACUUUUUCCCAUAUAAGCUUUGACCAGGUAAUGAUAUGACCACUACAUUAUUUUCCAUGAUUAAUGACAAACUUGUAUAAUGCAUUCUUCGCGUCAUAGAGAGACCCAAAAACUGGUAUAGAACCAACUGAUCUAACCCUUUGGAUGAGUACUCAUUGUAAAAAUGGUGAAUGGUUGGAAGAGGCUUCACAUGGUAUUUAUGUAAGUGAAUCACAAAGUUUAGUACUUAAACAUACUUCAAAAUACUAUGUAGAAAUUAUUAUUUGAAUUGAGUAAACUUGAACUACAUUGUUCAUUUCAGGAGAAGGCAUGCGAGAAAAUUGUUGAGAAAGUAUAUCAAGAUGAUGGAUUUGAUCUGACGAGAGAAGAGGAAAAUGCAAUUUUCCAAACAUCAUUCAAGGAAACAACAGGAUGCAAGGCAAAUAGGCUUCAUGGUCAUGGGUACCUAUCAAGAUAUCCAACAAGAAGUCAAAUGAUGGAUUCAAAAUUCCUCGAACAAGCUCGUGCAACGGCUGCAACCAACCAAAAGAACAUUGAACUCGAAACCCAGGUCCAUCUAUUAAAUGAAGAACUUGCAAGUGAGGUUGCAGAAUGGGAAAGAAUAGUGCAAGAAAAAAAUGCAAGCACUGCAAGAAGAAGAAGAAAGAAAAAGGCAACUAUUUAGAGAAGAAAUGAGGAAGGAAAUGGUUGUUGCCCUUACUGCAGCACAACAGGUAUAAAAUUUGAUAUUUGUAUCUUUUACCACCAUUGCUAUUGGAAACUUCUUCAACAUAAAUUGUUUGAUCAAUUGUUUAAUGCAGGCCAACUGAGAAAGCAUCACUCCAGUCGAUCCUCCUUUAGUGAUCCCAACUGAAACUCCUGAACUCAUCCCAGUUGAUCCUCUUGCACCAACACCAAGAAGUGAAAACAAUGUUUGUACUCCAGACACAAACAACAAGAAAGACAAUGUGCCAGCGAACUAUAUUAGCUCUUACGCUCUAAGGAAUGUUGUGACAAGACGUGUGUAGGCAAGGGGCAACAAAAGAAGUGAAUGUGUAUGGAAUGCAAAUGUUCAUGUAUUUUGGUCAAAUAUACUAUAGUAUGAAAUUCUUUUGAUAGUUUUGUUUUUUAAUCUUGAAUAUGAUUAUAUGUACAAUCUGUAAGCGCAAGCGAGAAACAAGGAAUAUCAUCUUAAGAAGUUCUAUCAAAGCGUGUUUAAGGUAUAUGUCCACAAUCCAAUGGAGCACUUCCUAUUUUUAUUUCUUUUGUAGUCAUGCAUGCAAUGGAUUUUAGUGUUGUUGUGCUGCUUGUUGCGUGCUGCUGCUUGCUAGGAGUUGUGCUAUAUAAAAGGUUUAGUUCUUACAUAGCAUUUGGAAUCUACUUAGAGAGCAACUACAUGAUUAACCAAGUUAUUGUACCUGUAGCCACUGCAGUUGUAGUCUUCCACUUAUGGUUAACCAAGUUAUUGUAGCUUUACUAAUUAAUUGUUUUGAACACUUCCAACAGGUUCGUUGUCAUCGUGAUAUCGUUGUCAUGAUAACCAUCACUUGCAUCAAUGGAGGAGAUGGAGGGGUACACGGUGGACCAAAAAAGCUUCCACUCAUUUGCUAGUGUUGAGUAGUUUAUUACCUAUGUUAUCACAAUCCAAGCUAGCAUGAGGAUGUUGUGAUUGUGAGCUAUUUUGUCAAAUUAAUUUGUAUUUGGUCACUGUUUAUUUGGUGCAACCUAUUUGUUACAAAAUGGUAUGGAUAUAGUUAAUAUAUGAGGCAAGAGACAAAUAUUAUGGUUGUCAAUUUUGGUUCUGAUGUUACAUAUGCGAAAUAUAAUUCUUUUUGCGUAAUAUAUUAUACCCAAUAGAAAUACAAAAUGCAUUGUCGUAUAAAUUAUGGGUUGAAUAUAUGUAAUUGCAACAUUUUUAUUCGUUGUUAUAUGGUUCGGUUGCAUUAUCUUUAUAGUUGCGACAUCAUCAAUUGCAAUGAUUUUUUUGUUGCAAUAAGAUGUAAUUAUAAUGGAUCUAUUUCGUUGGGACUUCAGUUGUCGCAACAUUUUCUCCUUGUUGCAACAUCAUUAGUUACAACGAUGUUUUUGUUGCCAUAAAGACUCGUACCAUGGAUUAAUUUUUAUAGUAAAAAUGUCAUAUAACCACGAGACACAUUAUGUUGCAAAAUGAUCAAAUGCAACGAAAAUAUUUGCAUGGCAAUACAUCUUGUUGCCACGAGUCACUUGUGUGGCACUAGUGUUUUGUUGCCAUGAAGCAUCUUGUGGUAACAAAGCCAUUUGCAACAGAUUCAAAUGUGGCAUUAACACUUAUUACCAUGAAAUAUGUUGUGGCAAUAUAGUUUUUGGCAACUAUUAUAAAUGUUGCAAUAUAACUUAUUUGCAACAUAAUAGUCCAUUGUAACGACAAACAGUUACAACACUUGAACACGUUGCAAAGGAUGUAGUAAUUGCAACAGAACGUAAAAAUGUUGCUAUAACCUAUUGCCACUCUAUUUUUUGCAACAGCAGGCAACGACAGUUGUUCUAUCGCAAUUGGUGCCUAUUGCAACGAUUUAUAGCCUAUCACAACGAUUUUUGCCCAUUGCAAAAAGGUGAUUUUUUAGUAGUGAAAAGAAAAGCGAAGAAAGGAAAGGGUAACACCUGAAUUUUGAGUACAGAGCAAAGAAAAUCUUAUUCGCCAAAAUUUAGGGUGUUACAGACCUAUCCCCCUUAAAAGAAUCUCGCCCCGAGAUUCAAGGUCGGUAGCAAAGAGUAUAGGAUACUUGGCUUUCAGAUCAUCUUCACGUCCCCAUGUUGCUUCUUCUUCAGAGUGGUGACCCCAUAUGACUUUGUAGAUUCUGAUGGUAUUCUCUAGUUGACUUUGUCUGCUGUCUCCAGAAUCUGUGUUGGUUUCUCCUCAUAUGUCAUGUCUUCUUGGACUUCCAGUCCUUCCAUUAGCAACUGCUCUUUGGGUACUCGCAAACACUUUUUCAGCUGAGACACAUCAAAAACAUUAGGCAUUGCUGAUAGAUCUUCUAGUAAGCUGAGCUGGUAUGCCACUUCUCCACGCCUUGCUAGAAUGUGGUACGGUCCAAUAUAUCGCGGUGCUAACUUGCCCUUGACUCCGAACCUUCUGACUCCUCUGAUAGGUGACACCUUCAGAUAGACAUAAUCUCCCACUUCUAAACUCAGUUCUCUUCUUUUUGUGUCAACAUAACUGCGCUGCCUUGACUAUGUUUUCUUUAGAUUCUCUCGGACAAUUUUGAUGUUCUCUUAUGCUUCGAGCAAAACUUCGGGACCAAACACCUACCUUUCUCUAGGUUGAUCCCGGAGUAGCGGAGUUCUACAACUCCUUCCAUACAGUGCCUAAAACGACGACAUCUUCAAACUGGCCUGAUGGCUGUUGUUAUAGGAGAAUUCCACAUAAGGUAACUUAUUAUCAACCUGACUUAUCUUGCAAUGCAUAGGCUCUCAACAUGUCUUCCAGAAUUUGAUUAGUUCUUUCAGUCUGAUCAUCGGUCUAUGGAUGAUAAGCUGAACUGAACUUCAAAUGCGUUCCCAAAGCUUCUUGUAGCUGCUGCAAAAAAUGAGAGGUGAACUGUGUUCCUCGAUCUAACACUAUCUUCUUCGAAAUGUCAUGCAAACAUACAAUCCGAGACAUGUAUAACUCAGCUAGCGUUGUGCCAUUGUAUGUUGUCUUCACUGGUAUGAAAUGGGCCACCUUUGUUAAGCGGUCCACAAUCACCCAAAUGGAAUCGAAACCGGCCCGGGUACGAGGUAGGCCAACUAUGAAAUCCAUCCUGAUCUCAUCCCAUUUUCCACUGAGGAAUUUGCAACGGUUGCAUAAGUCCAGCUGGUUUCUGAUGCUCUGCUUUGGUUCUCUGACAACUGUCACAAAUGGCAACAUGCUAUGCAAUCUCUAUUUUCAUUUUGAACCACCAAAACCUCCUUUUCAGGUCCUGAUACAUCUUCUUGCUUCUGGGUGUAUGAAAUUGAUGGAUUAUGGGAGACUACACUAGCGCAAAAUAAAACUUUCGACCCCAUAAAACCAGGAACUAUUGCGGUUAUAGACCAUGGAAUUACCACUAGACGCGCAGGGCAGCGGAAGACGUCUCGAUGUAGACGAACGCGUCGAGCAGUGUUGUGCAGUCGUCGGCGACCUUCACGUCCUCUCAUGGUUCAUCCUAGUGCUCUAGAUGCAGUACCUCCGAGGUAUCCACAUGUACAGGGAGGAAGCGCCGCGUUCUGAACUACUAGGUUCACGACGGUGGCUAAGCGAGGGCGAGGGGCAGGCGGCUGCUCAUUAACUAGUGAAAAAUUCGGGUUCUCUUAACCGCGCCCCUGUCCCUCAUUAUAUAGGCGUUCUGGUGGACUUCUAACUUUGAGGCCCAUUAGUAACGCUAAAGCCCUGUCUAAUUUUGGACCUAAUCUGAGUUAGGCUUCCUUCCCUUAAGUAUGUGACCCUAUAGGUUCACGUACAUAUAGACAUGGACUAAGUACUCUUACUUGGCCCAAUAAUUGACAGCGGCCUCUAGCAAGACAUGUCAAGUUCUAUACGCACGUAAAGAUCAUAUCAGACGAAAUAUUGCAACAUAAUGUACAUGUUGUUCCCUUUGCCUCACGAUAUUUGGUCUGGCUCUAAGCUAACCUCUCUUUCUCGAUACUGUGAAUUGGAAUCCUUUCAUUAGUUAACAUUUAACCCUAGCACGGUGAUGCAUUUCUUGAUCCAAUCAAUCGAGGGGCCAGAGAUAUCUGUCUCAAGAAGAGAGGGACAAAUUCCAUCUUGAUUGACCAUGCCUCACAACAUGCUUCCUGACAAACCCAAAACUACCUAUAUAACUACCCAAUUACGGAGUAGCAUUUGAUAGUCCCUAAGUAAGUCAAUUCACAACAUGCAAAAAUCUCAGGUCUAAGGGUACAGUAUACAUGUUGCAAAAUGAGAACCAUAUUACAAUAUCUCACAUUAGGUCGAUCUAGCCUCAUGUCAUACAUGCGCCCACAUUGUUUGUUUAACAUCUUCGUGUCCAUGACUUGUGAAAUGCAGUCAUCGACUAAUACAUGUGCUAGUCAUCAACUCUAACUAGGGACAUCAUUUAGAAUAACCGUACAAGUAAAGAAUCUCACAAACAAUUCACAUAAUUGCUAAUCAAUACAAGGUGCCUCUCAUGAUUAUUCAAUUAAGCAAUAUAUAUAUGUAUCAUGGAUACAAAGAAAUAUGCUCAUCUCUAUGAUUAUCUCUAGGGCAUAAUUCUAACAUGAUUAUGCUGUCUCAUGAGCUUCUUUGAGAAUUAGCUCCUGAAUGGACUUGAUGUCGGGAACACACAGUCGGUCUUUGAACCAUAUCCCGCCUUCUGCAUCCUCUAAAAGUCUUUGUCUUUUCCCUCUAAGAUUAGCUAGUGGAUCUCGUUGAUCUUUUCAUCAUCUUUCCGUCCUUCUCUGAUAUCCCGCUCUAAGGUGGGUUCCAGCUCAACUGUCACUCCCUGGGUGCUAUUCAGAAAUUCAAGACUCAGUCUGUCAAACUCCUUGGCUAACUCAUAUGGCAUCGGGUAAGCGGCCAUCAUACUGACUUGACUCUUUCUACUUAGUGCAUCCACAACCACAUUUGCUUUGCCUGGAUGGUAAUGUUUCUCCAACUCAUAGUCUUUAAUCAACUUUAGCAAUCUUUGUUGCCUCAUAUUCAGCUCUGACUUGGUGAAUAUAUACUUUAGACUUUUGUUGUCUAUGUAAACAUCACAUUUCUACCCAUAUAGGUAGUGCCUCCAUGUCUUCAAUGCAUGAGCCAAUGCAGCUAAUUCCAAGUCGUGUGUGGGAUAAUUAUUCUCAUGAACCUUUAGCUACUGGUAUGAAUACGCAACGACUUUUCCUUCUUGCAUUAGCACACAUCCUAAGCCAGUGUAGGAAGCAUCACAAUACACUGAGAACGGCUUGUAAACAUCAUGCAGAAUUAAGACAUGUGUUGUAACUUCUCUGUCAGCGCUUCAAAGGCCUCUUGGCACUUCUGGGUCCACUUAAACUCAACUUUAUUUGCUAGCAAGGCUAUCGUUGGUCUCGCAAUCUUUGAAAACCUUCAAUGAUACGCUGGUAGUAUUCGACCAUUCCAAUGAAACUUUUGAUUUCACGAACAUCUUUCGGUGCUUUCUAGUUCAGAAUAUUUGCUACCUUCUUUGGAUCCAUGACUAACCCAUCUCUGUUUAUGAUGUGACCCAAGAAUAGGACUUCAUGAAUCUAGAACUCACAUUUACUUAGCUUGGCGUAUAAUGGAUGCUCUCGUAGCCUUUGCAACAACUUUCUCAAGUGAUCUGCAUGGUCCUCCUCACUUUGAGAAUACAUGAGCAUAUUAUCAAUGAACACCACCACAAACUUGUCUACGUAAUCAAUGAACACGCUGUUCAUCAGAUACAUGAAGAAAGCUAGUGCAUUUGUUAGACCAAAUGACAUUAAUUUGAACUCAUACAACCCAUAUUUGGUGGUAAAUGUUGUCUUCGCUACAUCGGAAGGUCAGAUUCUGAGCUAAUGAUAACCUGACCUAAGAUCUAUCUUUGAGAACACACUAGCUCCUCUCAAUUGGUCGAACAGAUCUUCUAUUCUGGGCAGGGGAAACUUGUUCUUGAUUGCGACCUCAUUCAAAGCUCGGCAAUCUAUGCACAUUCUCUUCGUACCAUCACUACUAAAAAAUCACCUUCUUGCAAUGGGCAAAAAUCGCUGUGAUAGGCUAUAAAUCGUUGCAAUAGGCACCAAUUGCGAUAGAACAACUGUCGUUGCCUGCUGUUGCAAAAAAUAGAGUGGCAAUAUGUUAUAGCAACAUUUUUACGUUCUGUUGCAAUUACUACAUCCUUUGCAACGUGUUCAAGUGUUGUAACUGUUUGUUGUUACAAUGGACUAUUAUGUUGCAAAUAAGUUAUAUUGCAACAUUUAUAAUAGUUGCCAAAAACUAUAUUGCCACAACAUAUUUCAUGGUAAUAAGUGUUAAUGCCACAUUUGAAUCUGUUGCAAAUGGCUUUGUUACCACAAGAUGCUUCAUGGCAACAAAACACUAGUGCCACAGAAGUGACUCGUGGCAACAAGAUGUAUUGCCAUGCAAAUAUUUUCGUUGCAUUUGAUCAUUUUGCAACAUAAUGUGUCUCAUGGUUAUAUGACCUUUUUACUAUAAAAAUUAAUCCAUGGUACGAGUCUUUAUGGCAACAAAAACAUCGUUGUAACUAAUGAUGUUGCAACAAGGAGAAAAUGUUGCGACAACUGAAGUCCCAACGAAAUAGAUCCAUUGUAAUUACAUCUUAUUGCAACAAAAAAUCAUUGCAAUUGAUGAUGUCGCAACUAUAAAGAUAAUGCAACCGAACCAUACAACAACGAAUAAAACUGUUGUAAUUACAUAUAUUCAACCCAUAAUUUAUACGACAAUGCAUUUUGUAUUUCUAUUGGGUAUAAAAUAUUACGCAAAAAGAAUUAUAUUUCGCAUAUGUAACGUCAGAACCAAAAUUGACAACCAUAAUAUUUGUCUCUUGCCUCAUAUAUUAACUAUAUCCAUACCAUUUUGUAACAAAUAGGUUGCACCAAAUAAACAGUGACCAAAUACAAAUUAAUUUGACAAAAUAGCUCACAAUCACAACAUCCUCAUGAUAGCUUGGAUUGUGAUAACAUAGGUAAUAAACUACUCAACACUAGCAAAUGAGUGGAAGCUUUUUUGGUCCACCGUGUACCCCUCCAUCUCCUCCAUUGAUGCAAGUGAUGGUUAUCAUGACAACAAUAUCGCGAUGACAACGAACCUGUUGGAAGUGUUCAAAACAAUUAAUUAGUAAAGCUACAAUAACUUGGUUAACCAUGAGUGGAAGACUACAACUGCAGUGGCUACAUGUACAGUAACUUGGUUAAUCAUGUAGUUGCUCUCUAAGUAGAUUCAAAUGCUAUGCAAGAACUAAACCUUUUAUAUAGCACAACUCCUAGCAAGCAGCAACAAGCAGCAGCACGCAGCAAGCAUCACAACAACACUAAAAUCCAUUGCAUGCAUGACUACAAAAGAAAUAAAAAUAGGAAGUGCUCCAUUGGAUUGUGGACAUACCUUAAACACGCUUUGAUAGAACUUCUUAAGAUGAUCUACCUUGUUUCUAGCUUGCACUUACAGAUUGUACCUAUAAUCAUAUUCAAGAUUAAAAAACAAAACUAUCAAAAGAAUUUCAUACUAUAGUAUAUAUGACCAAAAUACAUGAACAUUUGCAUUCCAUACACAUUCACUUCUUUUGUUGCCCCUUGCCUGCACACGUCUUGUCACAGCAUUCUUUAGAGCGUAAGAGCUAAUAUAGUUCGCUGGCACAUUGUCUUUCUUAUUGUUUGUGUCUGGAGUACAAACAUUGUUUUCACUUCUUGGUGUUGGUGCAAGAGGAUCAGCUGGGAUGAGUUCAAAAGUUUCAGUUGGGAUCACUAAAGGAGGAUCGACUGGAGUGAUGCUUUCUCGGUUGGCCUGCAUUAAACAAUUGAUCAAACAAUUUAUGUUGAAUAAGUUUCCAAUAGCAAUGGUGGUAAAAGAUACAAAUAUCAAAUUUUAUACCUGUUGUGCUGCAGUAAGGGCAGCAACCAUUUCCUUCCUCAUUUCUUCUCUAAGUAGUUGCCUUUUUCUUUCUUCUUCUUCUUGCAGUGCUUGCAUUUUUUCUUGCACUAUUCUUUCUCGUUCUACAACCUCACUUGCAAGUUUUUCAUUUAAUAGUUGGACCUGGGUUUCGAGUUCAAUGUUCUUUUGGUUGGUUGCAGCCGUUGCACGAGCUUGUUCGAGGAAUUUUGAAUCCAUCACUUGUCUUCUUGUUGGAUAUCUUGAUAGGUACCCAUGACCAUGAAGCCUAUUUGCCUUGCAUCCUGUUGUUUCCUUGAAUGAUGUUUGGAAAAUUGCAUUUUCCUCUUCUCUCGUCAGAUCAAAUCCAUCAUCUUGAUAUACUUUCUCAACAAUUUUCUCACAUGCCUUCUCCUGAAAUGAACAAUGUAGUUCAAGUUUACUCAAUUCAAAUAAUAGUUUCUACAUAGUAUUUUGAAGUAUGUUUAAGUACUAAACUUUGUGAUUCACUUACAUAAAUACCACGUGAAGCCUCUUCCGACCAUUCCCCAUUUUUACAAUGAGUACUCAUCCAAAGGAUUAGAUCAGUUGGUUCUAUACCAGUUUUUGGGUCUCUCUAUGAUGCGAAGAAUGCAUUAUACAAGUUUGUCAUUAAUCAUGGAAAAUAAUGUAGUGGUCAUAUCAUUACCUGGUCAAAGCUUAUUUGGGAAAAGUUCUAGAACCCAUUAUAUGCUUUGUUCUUUGUUUCUCAUUGUUUUCCGAGUUCCGACUACUUAUUUUCUACAAAAUAAUAACAGUUGUAAAUGAAUUAAUAAAUAAAAUGCUAGAAUCAUCGAUAUUAUGCAAGUGUCAAUCAUUGUAAAGGAAAUGCUAUCGAACCUGGAAUUUCUCAGAUCCAAAAUACAGCAUCAGGUAAUGCCACUUGACGAUGUCUACAUUUUUCAGGCUUGUUUUUCAUCCUUUCAGCAUAAUUGUUGUAUGCCUUGUAUGUUGAGCUUAAUGCUGAUCGCCAUCCUUUGUACCUCUCCUUGGCAAUAGACCAUUGUUGGGGACUUGUUCUCAAAUGCUUCGAAUUAAGAACAAGGCAACACGGAAAAUGUUAAGUAUUAAGGUCCUUCGUCCUUCAUAACGAUAUAUCCCUUCGGGAUAUAUAGCAUCUCGGACGAAGGUUACAAAGAACAUACCUUCGUAAGCAUAACAAUGAAGAAUAAAGCAUUCACAUAAAUCAUGAAAUAAACAUGUAAAUAUUAUCAUAGAAUUAUCUCUACUUGUAUUAAUGAAUAUAAAUGACUUUGAAGUACAAAUGUACCUUCGGUCUUGCGGAAGGCAAAAAGUACGAAUGUGAUGCGAAGGCAAAAAGCAGGUUCGCGUGAACAGUACAGAGGUACUGUUCAUCUAUUUAUAGACACAGGUCGCAGCCUGUGACAAAUUACAAUUAUGCCCCUUGCGGAAGUUUACAACAUUGACUCGGACAUACAUGUAUAAAAAGGUCAUUCUGCCUCUAUGUCGGUUUAAAACGCCGAAGCUCCAUGAAAAGGGACCUUCGGCCAUCUCUUAGAAACGACUUUGGCCGAAGCUGCUUCUUCGUGUGAGACCUUCGGCGUACCGAAGCACGACCCCAACAGUAGCCCCUUUCGCGGUGCUAGAUCGUUCUUCGUAACGAGCUUGGCCCGUGAAAAAAAACCUCUUCAGCUUCGGGAAGCCGAAGGUCCAAAAAACACCUUCCCUGAGCUCGUUGCGGAGAAACGAUCCGACUUCCGAGCGCGUGCGAAGCCCACUUUGUAGAGUUACUGUUUGGUCUUUGCGGUCCACUGCACAGCGGGUAUGAGUUACUGCGCGCCUGGUGUAACAGUUCCACCGCUUCGCCUUCCUACCUGCAGCACUAUAUAAACAAACAGGUGGGUGUGAAGUUACCACAGCAUUCAUUGCUAUUUGCACUGUUUCGCUGCCAAAAUUUUUCACCAUAGCCGAAGCUUAAGUCUCAGAAUCGAACGAAGGUGCUUCUCAACGUCCGCUUCGUCAGAAAGAAGAGCUUCGGAGAAAAGAAAAAAGGAAAAAAGUUUUUGACUUCCCAAACUUAGAAUCAAAUGGCGAGAAUACGAUCUACUGCCAAAGUUGUACGUGAGGGAGACGAAGCCGAAGGUUCAGACACUGUGCCCAUCUCCGAAGCAAUGCAGCGUUCCGGUCUACUGACUACAGAAGAAAUGCCUGCUGCUGAAGCAGGCCCAACAACUGCCGAAGGAAAAGAAAACAUUGAAGGGACUGACUCCGAAGAUGACUAUCACCUUGCUACGCCCAGCAAGCCCAGUCACCUGGAUUUUGGGAAAUCAACUGUUUCAAAAGCUGACCUUUCGAAGAUGGUGAAAGCAGGUUAUUUCAAUGAGGACCAGAAGAAGCUACUCCGCUUCGGGGAAGAAGAAACCACCCCGAAGCCAAGGAAGGAUGAGAUUGUUAUUUUCAAGAGUUUUUUAAAAGCUGGGCUUAGAUUCCCUCUCCACGAUAUUGUUGCGGAGAUACUAAGGAGGUUUGGUAUCUACUUUCAUCAAUUGACUCCUAACGCCAUCGUUAGGCUCAAUGUUUAUAUCUGGGCCCUCCGAAGCCAAGCUGUGGAACCAUUUGCUGACAGCUUCUGCCGAGCUCACGAAUUACAUUACCAAACAAAGGCCAGAAAAGAUGGGCUACAUGAUAAUUUCGGUUGCUAUAAUUUUGCCUACCGGAAGACAACAAAGUGUCCUGUCAUCAGCUACCGAAGCAAAUGGCCAGCAGGUUGGAAAUCUGAGUGGUUUUAUGUAAAAGUCGAUGAAAACAAAGAAAAAUUGGUACAAAGCCCUCUGGAGUUAAUCUUCGGAGAGACAAGGCCACAAUGCCACAUUGGCGACCUAAAAGGUCCCACCUGGGCUGCUCUGGGUGAAUUUGAAAUUAUCUCAGAACAUAUUGGCACCAGGGAUUUAGUUCAAGAGUUCUUGGCAUUCAGAGUUUUCCCUACUCUAAAAGAGUGGGAGAUGCCGAAGCUGGAGGGAGAGAAGAAGAAGGGGGAGCUUGUCCGGCUUCCCUAUUACUUCAAGUUCAAGAAGUUCUUCAAAAAACCCUGCAAAGAAUGGUUAGACACUGUUGAGGUGAUGUGCAACGAAAUCCUGGGGAAUUACUCCAAAAAAGAGGAUCAACUAAUGACAGCAGCCUUCGGUGCCCGACCGAAACGAAGGCUGAACCGAGUGCUUGACGCCCUAGGCUUCGAAUACCCAGACUACGAACAAUUGAACAAGGGCGCCGAGGGCCUCAAAAGAAAAAGAGUAGCCGAAGCUCUGAUCAGGGAUGAAGAAAUACCAGCAAAGGAGAAGAAAGUUCUCAAGAAAAGAAAAAUAUCUGCUCCGAAGCGCAAAUCACCCGAAGAAGAGGAGACCCCCACACCGCCUUCUACCAGCGACGUGGAGGAAAUUUUAAAGGUAAUGACUGAACCCAUGCCUACGAAGCUAAGUCCACUAGGGCUCCAACUGACGAAGCUUUUUGAAAAGGUGGACGAGCCGGAUCAACCGAAGAUAAACAAACCCAAACGGCAAAGAAUUAUUGCGGUAACUGAGGUUAUCGACAAAACUCCACCUAGGUUGUCAAUUCAGAAAACGGCGGCUGCUGAAGGUAGAGCUUCGGAAGUCGCGGCUACCGAAGCUGCCACACCCGAAGAUGUAAAUUUAGAAACUACUCUUGAAAAUAUUGACAAAAUUUUGACGGAAAACAUUGAAGAAGCUGCCACCGUUACUGAAGAAAUCCUGGCCACAGUGCCAGGGAAAGGGAAAGAAAUAGUCGAAGAAACUCCGGACGACGAAGCCUAUUCUUUCCAGAAUCUAAUUGGGCAGAAACUGACGAAGGACGAAAUAGAAGAACUCAAAGACUAUGCCAAAUCUUGCGGCUACAAGCCAGGAGCCCUUCUAUUUGGGGGUGUAGAUGAUGAAAAACUAGGCUGUAUUCGAGACCAGACUGGAGCUAAGGUAAUCUGUACUCUAUCGAAGAGUAUCGGUUUUCCGAAGUUAGAGACAGACAUCAGCCGCUACCGACGACAACAUAUCGUCGGCAGCUUGUUUUAUUCUAACUUCAAGGUAAACAACCUUUUUCUCUGGUUUUUAUUGUCGUUAACAAUGAAAAUAUUACUUAACAUAAGUUGUUUCUGUUCAGAGCAUGCUACUGAGCAAAGCUCUGAAGAUGCAACAAGACUUGGAGGACAAAAAGCACGAAGCUAUAAUUGAAAACUUGGAAAGCAAAAUAAAAGAGCAAUCUGCCAUCAUUGAAAAGAAAGACUUCGAGCUCCAAUCGACCGAAGGCUUGCUGGCUGAAACUGAGGCUAAAAUAUUAGAGUUAAAUUCGAAGCUUAUCAAUCAAUCAAAACAAUUUGAUCAGGAGAAACUAGAACUGAAUUCGAAGCUUAAAGCCGAAGUCCAGACCAGCUUAGAAUUGAAGAAAGCAUUAACAAGCCUUCAAGACAAAUGCUUGAACUUUGGCAAUAAUUGUAUUGGACGAUUAAAGAAGAUAUUUUACUCUGUUGGAGCCAGCAGUGUGAAAUUUAACCCUUCGGCGGAAAAUUUACCCCAGGCCUUCGAUCAUAUUGAAGCUGAAAUCGAAGAGCUUGACGAAGUUAUAGCCGGGCACGGCGACUUCUGUGCCUGGGUAGCUUCUCGGGGUACCGCUGCUGCAUUUCUGAAGGCCGGCUGCGAACAUGGAAAGGUUGUCAAUAGGCCCAACUUCACCUUAUCUUCAUCAAUCCUGGAUGAUAUGCCCGACCUCGCCCGAAGUAUCUCCAAUAGAUUUAUAAAAAUGGUAUGGACAAAGGGCGGGCGAGAGAAAGCUGGAGACGAAGCCCGAAGUCAUCUUGAACCAGUAAGAAAUGACAUUUCGUGCUUACCUUUUCCUUUGGGCUUGAUUCUUAUGAUUCCUUGACUCAUGUAGGAUGACGAAGGUGAAGAUGAUGCCUAGGAUAUGUCGCCGAAGUUGUCGUCGAAGCUGAAGCUUAAUGAAGACUAGCAGAAGUGUGCUUUAGAAAAACUCAGGAUAAUUUUGUAACAACUCUUGUAAAUAGAAUUAAACUGUUCUUCAAGGAACUUUGUACAUACCUUGUAAUAUAUUCUUACCCUUCGAUUGAGGUGCUUUGAUGUGGACGAAAUCAGUUUUUUGAGCCGAAGGCGAAAAAACACCUUCCCUUCUUUUCGUACACAACGAAGCAUAAAAGGCCGCUUCCUCUUUUUGCCGAAGCCUUUCCUUACAUAACAAAACAUAAAAGACUGCUACUCUUAUCUGCCGAAGCUUUUAUUUACAUAACAAAACAUAAAAGACUGCUACUCUUAUCUGCCGAAGCUUUUAUUUACAUAACAAAACAUAAAAGACUGCUACUCUUAUACACAACGAUUCAUAAAAAACCACUUCUUCGAAACCUUUCUUUUACAUAACGAAUCAUAACAAACCAUUUAUCCGAAACUUUUCUCUGUGCCGAAGCAACCAUUUAGGAACACAAAUGCUAUGAAUGAAUGCUUAUGCAUGCAAAUGCCAUGAUGUAAUGUGCAAAUGAAUGUCCGAAGCGUAUGUCCGAAGCCACACUCAUCCAUCAUUUUCUUAGGAGCAAACACACGUUAGCUCUGCAUUCCCUUAGGAACGACUUUGGAGCAUCUUUGCCUUUUACUUAGGCAGUAUCAGCGUUGACUUUUCGCUGUAAGCUCUGCAUCCCCCUAGGGACGUCUUUGGAGCUUCUUCGUCUUUUACUUAGACGGUAUAAGCUCUGCAUUCCCUUAGGAACGACUUUGGAGCUUCUUCGCCUUUUACUUUCGGCGGAAUCAGCGUUGACUUUUCGCUGUAAGCUCUGCAUCCCCUUAGGGACGUCUUUGGAGCUUCUUCUCUUUUUUAGUUUCGGCACUCGAUGGUGCGCUCUCAGCUUUUACAUUUACAUUCUUUGGGGGAUUUUGCUCUUAUAAAACUAAAAAGGAAAUUACAUAUGAUGGCCCCAUUAAAAACCUUUCUCCCCCUUUAGAAAGGAAAAGGGUGCCAUGAAAAAGAAAAGAAAAGUCAAAAUUACAUCGAGUUAUACAUAAAACCGCCGAAGCUCAUCCGCAUUCCAAGAUCUUGGAAUUUCAUUGCCAUCCAUGUCCUUCAGUCUGUACGAACCAGGCCUUGACGAAGAUGCUACUAAGAAAGGCCCUUCCCAUUUCAGUUGCAAUUUGCCCACUGUAUCCGGAUUGGCCACUCUCCGAAGCACCAAGUGUCCUGGCUCAAUAUUUUUUAGCCGGACCUUUCUAUCUCGCCAUUUAACUGUUUCAGCCUGGUACUUAUUGAUAUUCUCCACGGCCUGAAGCCUGAUCCCUUCUAAGGCAUCUUUUUCCACGAGACAAGUAUCUUCGGGACCUGAUUCUGCCGAAGCUACCACUCUUAUUGAUCCAGCUUUGGCUUCUUCCGGGGUUAUUGCUUCGUCACCAAAUAACAACUUAAAUGGGGUAAAGCCUGUAGAUCUUGAUGUUGUUGUGUUAUGGCUCCAUACCACUUUGGUAAGCUGAUCUGGCCACUUUCCCCUUGGUUGAUUAAAGAUUAGCUUCAUUAUUCCUGUCAUUAUGAUGCCGUUGGCCCUUUCAACAAGCCCAUUCGACUCCGGGUGCCUGACUGACGCAAAGUGGAUCUUCGUGCCAAUUUGAUCACAAAAAUUUCUGAAUUCUUCGGAGUCAAAUUGUGUUCCAUUAUCUACAGUUAUAGCCUUCGGCACUCCGAAGCGACAGACAAUAUUCUGCCAGAAAAAUUUUUGGACAGUGGCCGAAGUUAUUGUAGCUAAUGGCUUCGCCUCAAUCCACUUGGAAAAGUAUUCCACAGCAACUACAACAUAUUUCAGAUUGCCUUGGGCCGGUGGUAAUGGGCCCAGCAAAUCGAGGCCCCACCUUUGCAAUGGCCAGAUGGGUUGUAUUAACUGUGUCAAAGACGAAGGUUGUUUUUGAUCUCUUGCACAUUUCUGACAACCUUCGCACUUUUGAACUAACUCAGCUGCAUCCGAAGCUGCCUUCGGCCAAUAAAAUCCUUGACGGAACACUUUUCCAAGUAACGGCCUGGAUCCGAUGUGGGAUCCACAAAGGCCUGCAUGUAUCUCCUUCAUCAACUCUAUACCUUCGGCUCUAGACAAGCACUUGAGCAGCGGGGCACAAACUCCAUGCUUGUAUAACUCCCCUUCUAUAAUGAUAUACGGACGAGCUCUUGCCUCUAUUCUUUUAUUAUAAGCUUCGUCAUCUGAUAGGAAUUUGCCCUGAAGGUAAGAAAUUAUUUCAGUUCUCCAAUCUUCACUGUACACAGGAGAAAUAGUAAGAACUGCUCUUUCAAGUAACUCCACUGAAGGUGCCUUUAUCGUUUCGAAGAAUACAUCCGAAGGUAGCGGCAGCCCCUGUGCUGCAGACCUGGCUAACAAAUCAGCAUGUUCAUUUUGCCCUCGAGGGAUAUUCUUAACAGAAAAUCCUUCGAAGGAAGCUUCGAUCCUUCGGACUGUGUCUAGGUAUUUUUCAAGCUUCGGGUCUUUAGCCUUGCAACUUUUGUCAAUAUGACCCGAAACAAUCUGAGAAUCAGUUUUAAGGAUCGCCCUCCUGAUCCCCAUCGCCUUUAGCUUCCGAAGACCCAGGAGCAAGGCUUCGUACUCAGCAAUAUUAUUUGUGCAGCUGAAGUCCAGUCUUGCUGCAUAGCAAGUUUUAACCUUGGACGGUGAAACCAAAACAGCAGCUGCUCCUGCUCCGAAGGUUCCCCAGGAGCCAUCACAAAACACUGUCCAUGCUUCGGCAUCUUUAUUCGCUUCUUCGCCCUGAGCCCCUGGCGUCCAGUCGGCAAUAAAAUCUGCCAAUGCUUGAGACUGGAUCGAGGAUCUGUGCACAUAAUCAAUGUAAAAUUCAUUAAGCUCCGCAGCCCAUUUUCCAAUUCGGCCAGUAGCUUCUUUAUUUCUCAUGAUAUCUUUCAACGGCUGCGAAGAAGGAACAAUAAUAUUAUAUGCCUGAAAAUAAUGCCGAAGCUUCCUGGAUGCCAUUAGAACGGCAUACAACACCUUCUCCAGUUCUGUAUAAUUUUUCUUUGAGACACUAAGGACCUCAGAUACAAAAUAUACUGGGACCUGCUUCUUGAUCUGUCCAUCAAACUUCUCCUGCACAAGUGCCGCACUUACUGCUGAGUGCGAAGCUGCCACAUACAACAACAGAGGAGCCCCUGGCAUUGGUGGAGUUAAUGUUGUUAGAUCUAUCAGGUAUUGCUUGAGUUCUUCGAAAGCUUUUUGUUGAGCUGGGCCCCAUUGAAAGACUUCAGCUGAUUUUAGCACCUCGAAGAAGGGUAGAUUUCUUUCCGCUGAUCUGGAUAUAAAUCUGUUAAGAGAUGCCAGUCUUCCUGUCAAUCUUUGGGCCCCCUUUCUUGUGGUUGGUGGCUCCAUUCGAAGUAUAGCUUCGAUUUUAUUUGGGUUAGCUUCAAUUCCCUUUGUUGAAACCAAGCAUCCAAGGAACUUACCCUUCUUUACUCCGAAGACACAUUUUUCUGGAUUCAGCUUCAGACCAGCUUGUCUGAAGCUGGCGAAGGUCUCCUGCAGAUCAGCAAUAUGGUCUUCUUGCUUCGUGCUUUUUACAAUAAUGUCAUCAACAUAGGUCAACACAUUUCUGCCUAUCUGAGAUUGGAGAACCUUCGCAGUCAUCCUGCUGAAACUCCCUCCAGCAUUCUUAAGCCCCUCAGGCAUCCGAAGAUAGCAAUAUGUACCACUUGGGGUUAUGAAACUAGUCUUCGGCUCAUCCUCCUUUUUCAUCCAGAUUUGAUGAUAGCCUGAGUAACAAUCCAGGAGACUCAUGAGUUCCGAAGAAGCUGCUGCAUCAACUAAAGAGUCUAUCCUUGGCAGCGGGAACUCAUCCUUCGGACAAGCCUUGUUGAGAUCUGUGAAAUCAAUACACAUUCUCCACUUUCCAUUGGCCUUCUUCACCAUAACAGUGUUAGCUAGCCAUUCUGGAUACUUCACUUCUCUGAUAACUCCUGCACUUAGGAGUCUUUUUACUUCGUUGCGAGCCCCUUCGGCCUUGUCAUCAGACAUUUUCCGAAGCCUCUGCUUGCGGGGUCUGAAGGAUGGGUCAACAUUGAGCGAAUGUUCAAUAACAUCCCGAUUCACUCCACAAAGAUCAUUGGCUGACCAUGCAAAAACAUCUUUAUUGUUGAAUAAAAACCUUAUCAAGGUUUUCUCUUGAUCUUCAGAUAAUUGCGAGCCCAAUAGCACCUUCUGCUCUGCUAUAUCCUCACACAGCAGCAUGGGCUUCGGCUGAUCAGCCGAAGCUGCUUUUUCCCUCCUGAACUUGUACUGUUCACAAGCUUCAACUCCAUCUAUAUUAUGGAUUGCCUUGGAAUCAGUCCAGCUUCCUUCGGCCCUUCUGGCAGCUUCCUGACUCCCAUGAAUAGCAAUAGGCCCUUGGUCCGAAGGUAUCUUCAUGCAGAGAUAAGCUGGGUGAAGAAUUGCUUCAAAAGCAUUUAGGGUACCACGACCAAUGAUGGCGUUGUAGGGGUAUUCCAUGUCAACAAUAUCAAACACAAUUUGCUCAGUCCUUGUGUUAUUAACAAAUCCGAAGGUUACCGGCAUGGUAAUCUUCCCGAGUGCCACAAUCUGCCGCCCUCCGAAGCCACAAAGAGGGUGCGUAGCAUCAUGAAUCUUGUCUUCAGGCUCUUGCAUCUGUCUGAAGGCUUUGGCAAAUAUAAUGUCAGCUGCACUGCCUGUGUCAACUAGAACAUUGUGAACCAGAAACCCUUUGAUCACACAAGAAAUGACCAUAGCAUCAUUGUGAGGAUAGUCCUUGAGCUGAAGAUCUUCCUGAGAGAAGGUAAUUGGAAUGUGAGACCAUUUUGACUUAAUGAAGGGUCCCUGCACUCCAACAUGCUGCACCCUUCUCUGAGCCUCCUUCUUCUGCUUUUUGUUAGCUGGCUCUGAGCAAGAACCGCCUGUUAUCGGGAGCACCAGCUUCGAAGCCGAAGCAGCUCCAGCUUGAGUGUUGAACGAAGCCAUCAGCUCAGAAAGGUGGAAGUGAGUUGACCGGAGGUGGGCGCCAAUGUUGGGGACUUGUUCUCAAAUGCUUCGAAUUAAGAACAAGGCAACACGGAAAAUGUUAAGUAUUAAGGUCCUUCGUCCUUCAUAACGAUAUAUCCCUUCGGGAUAUAUAGCAUCUCGGACGAAGGUUACAAAGAACAUACCUUCGUAAGCAUAACAAUGAAGAAUAAAGCAUUCACAUAAAUCAUGAAAUAAACAUGUAAAUAUUAUCAUAGAAUUAUCUCUACUUGUAUUAAUGAAUAUAAAUGACUUUGAAGUACAAAUGUACCUUCGGUCUUGCGGAAGGCAAAAAGUACGAAUGUGAUGCGAAGGCAAAAAGCAGGUUCGCGUGAACAGUACAGAGGUACUGUUCAUCUAUUUAUAGACACAGGUCGCAGCCUGUGACAAAUUACAAUUAUGCCCCUUGCGGAAGUUUACAACAUUGACUCGGACAUACAUGUAUAAAAAGGUCAUUCUGCCUCUAUGUCGGUUUAAAACGCCGAAGCUCCAUGAAAAGGGACCUUCGGCCAUCUCUUAGAAACGACUUUGGCCGAAGCUGCUUCUUCGUGUGAGACCUUCGGCGUACCGAAGCACGACCCCAACAACCAUAUCUUUUCAUGUGCGUCCUCAUUUCUUGGAAACUCCCACCUUCGCUGUUUCAGUUUUGAUACAAAGAGAUGGUUAAUUGUCUAGUAAUUUGUGAACAGUUGACCAUAUCUUAGUAGAUCAUACCAAACCAAAUUUGAGAUGGCUUAAUCUCGGGUGAAGUAGCGGUGCCAUAGCAUGCUAGGCAACUAAUAGUUACUAAAGAAAUUGCACAUACCAGUACGUCAGAUGCUAUAGAAGAUCUAACAUUGAGCUCUAUAUCUUUCCACUUUUUCACUCCAAUGAGUGGUGCCUUUUUCUUUGUAAACAAUACGAUUUCAUCCCCAAAAGUGCGAGUGUUUGGUCCUACGGGACCUCCAAGCUUAGAUGAAAAUUCAAUCUUAAGUUUGUGAUCGCCGUUCUUGAUUCGCUUGGUAGCUGCUGCUAUACCCUUAAGGGUACCACGCCCCUCCUUUUUGAAGACUCCAUCGUUAUCUACAUAUAUACCAAUAACAUAUGAAUGGGUAGAAAUAUCCAAAGUAGAAGAUUGCAACAUUUGAAUAAAAAACACUCUUAGUAAAAUAUACCAGGAUCUCUUUUCCUAUGACGUCUAGCAUGAGAUGGCCAAUCAGCCGUAGGUUUGCCGCUGCCAUGAAUUUCUUCAUCUGAUAAUAUUAGCUCAUCAUUGCUUUGUCAUACAUACAAUACUGCGGAUAGCAUAGGCAUCAGUUAUGUCUCUAACAAUUUGCAAAAAUAUACACUAUAUGUUAGUACGCUGUAAAUAAAAGAAAUUACAGAUAUUUGGAAGAUCGCCUUGAUGCCUUAACCAUUCUUUAUAUGUUUUGAUCGUAUCCUCCCUAAAGUCAUCCAUUAAAUCUGCACUUAAACAAUACGUAAGUUUAACUGUGGAAACUAUAACAUAUCAUGUAUUUAAUGUAAUGAGUUUGACAUCUUAACUUACCCAUUUCUGGAUUAUCAUGUUGUAGUAUUGCAAGCCACUCCUUAUAUGCAUCAGUCGACACUUCUAUAGUUUCUUCGUCAACAUUUGUUCGCUGCCUUGGACGCUUGAUGGGAGUUAUGCUUACCUCUAGAUCACUGGGUGGAUCUUUUGUGAGCACAAAACUUAUUUUUCUCUCAUCCACGUUAUCAGAUAGCAUGGCCUCUUCUUGGUGGAUGUAAUCAAGUGCCAAUAGCCUGGAUCGAUCAAUGCCACAUCGUUUCUUGUAAAACAAGAAGUCCCUCCCAGAAUAUCCAAGUUUCGAUUUUAUGUACACCAUGUUGUAAAAGGCAACAUAAGCUUUAUCAAUAUUUAUUGUGACAAUUUUUUUCCAGGUUGUGCUCCAAUGCAAUGGAAUUUCAAGGUCCAUAUCUCACCUGUCAACCUGCCACACAAAUAUAUUUUAAGCAAUAUACUCUAAUUAUGAUCUGCGCCAAGGCCAAAGUAGUAGAGAACAAUCUAGGUAGAUAGAUUUUUACUUAUUAGGAAGAUCAAAGAAGAUGUUCUUCCAGCCAUAAUCUCGUCCACAAUUUGUGUACCAAGUUGGCUACCAUUGUCGUUGGUGCACAAAUUAGCUUCAUUGCUUGUCGGUGGCAAACCUCCUUGAGUCGCCAUCAUAGUUAGGGAAAAUAGAUGCUAACAGGGCAAGGAAAGAAAAAUCAUGUAAGUAUAACAAUAGAUUAUUUAAUGGAAUUAUGUGCAGUAAUUUUAGUGACAGAACACGAUCCGGGUACCAUGACACAAGAAAAAUUAAGUUUGCAUUUGCUACCGUAAAAAACACCAGACAGAGGCCUAGUUUGAUAUCUUGAUCUACACUGCAACAGGUCUAAUAUAAUCUCCUAUGAACAAACAAAUUUAUUCAAAACAACGAUGCCAAUAAGUCACACAAACACUCUCAACGCAGUAGCGCACAUCAGACUAACAGAGAUGAGUGGGUAGUCACUAGUCAGGGACUAUGCAAAAUCGGACAAUAGGUGGAGGACAUCGGACUAACAGGAAAUCAUAUAAAUCAACUAAGUCCCGCAACGAUGUAGAGGAGUGCAAGGAACAAGGAAGGGCCUUUUGGCCUAAUCAAACUCACCGCUGCGGUUGCUUGGAGUGGGCACAGACGAGCGGAAGCUACACGGACUCCAUGAAAGAUGAGUGUGUGAUCUCCUAGUCGGCGGCCCUCGACGGUGGGGGAGGGACGGAUGGGACUUGUUGUGGUUUGGCAUUUUGGUGCGGGGUAGGCGGGUUUUCUUGAUUUCUUCUCUUGUCCGCUUGCUCCUCGGGGAUUGCCUGCUGGAACCGGAAGGGAGGCAGGAGCUGCGACCGGCUGGGGCUGGACCCUGAAUGCUUGGUGUUUGACAGAGAAGACAAACGGUGGCGGCUCCAGCUUGACAGAGAUGAUGAGACAAUCUAGUAGAGAAUAAUCAGAGGGAGACUGAGCCGGCCGGAGGUGCUAUUGGGCCUCAGGCUGCCGCCACGCUGCCACCCAGCUCGAAACCCUUGUAGUAGAGCAGAUUAGGAAGGAGAAAGGAGGAAUGGAAUGCCUGCCAUUGCACCCUUGCCAUUUGGGAACUAAACUGACGAGUGGAGGCUGGAGUGGUUCUACGAUAUGCAAAAACAAUGGACCAUGCCAAAACAAAAAUUCUCAAUGUUAUGGUAAGUUACUUAGUAGUUCAGCCAAAACAACAUGGUAUUACACAUAUUUUUUGGUAAAAAAACAAUAACUUCUAAGCUAUGCAUUUCAAAGUUUAGAUGAUAUGUGGUAAGGUGCUUGGAUGACUGUAGAAGUUGGUAUAGAAUAUUACUUAUAUUAUCUUAAUUUCAAGUCUGCAAUUAUGUCAUCUAUGCGAAUUUUUGAAGCAAAACUUAAUUUCACCAUUCAUCGGUUGUGUGGCAUCUCUAUUUUCAAGACUACUAAAAUAUCAUCAUGAGACCAACAUCCAUGGAACGUUGUUGCUUUAAGUUGAAUUGGCUAACCUUUUGAUUUAAUUUUUGUAACAUGUGCCAUUAUUUCCUAAGUGUGCAUCCAUAUCAGUUCAAAAGAGUAUGAAAAGUCAUGCCCAGGUUGUAUUCCACUAAAUUUUAUUUUGAAAAGCACCAAAUUAUAAAGUAUGGCUUAUGUUAUGAUAGCAAUGGCACUAAGUUGUUGUGACUGACACAAUUUCUAUGGCAUGACUUUGUCUGUUAGAAACAUAUAAAACAUCAAUCAUGUACCAACUGUACCGAUAAGGCUGCCAAUUUAAAAUCAAAGUUAGCUUCAUGAACUAUGAUAGCACGAAGAAACAACACGCAGGUGCAAAACUUGACCACCUAAGAAAUUGCAAAAUUAAAUAGGUAUUAUUUAGCACAACAACACACAAGAAGCAAAUCCACAAGGAACUGGAUGGAGGAAGGCAGCAGACGCAGGAGAAACAUUUUGAUUCCAGGGCUCAUAACAGAGAAAAUAUUACACAUAACAUAGCAAGAUGAUGCAUUUGUGGAAGCAAUCUAGACUUCCUAACCAAGCAUAAUAGGAGCAAGCAAACCAAGCAGUGGCUCAAGAACGAAGUACUAAAAACCAAAGCACGAGGUGGAUCGAGAUGGACGUACCAGUGGAUGUGCCACUGGGCACAUCCCCCUCGCAUAGCUGCUGUCACUGAGGCCCACAUCCACCUGUGCGCAGUUGCACGACACCUUCAUAGCGCGGGGGACCGAAGCUGGAGGGAGUAAGUUGGAUGCCUGGAAGGAGCACCCGAAUGUGUAGCCCGCCACAUGCCAUUGUCGCCGUGGUUACUGUAGUGCGAGUGGAGGGUCGUGUAGGCCACGAGGAGAAGGACGUGGGUUGUGAGGUCGGCGAUGCGGGUUGUGAUGUUGGUGAUGCGAUGGUCGAGGAGGCAGCGGCAUUCCAAUAGGCAUGUGGCGGUGGAGCAUGGUGGAGAAAAUGAGACUUGGAUGAUUGGAUCUCCUUCUAGGCCUGCGCAUCAAAGCAAGGGGAGGAAAGGGGCGCCGCGGUGAGGCCGUGAGUCAGGGACGCGUGUAUCGCGGAGGCGAAUGGCGGCGCGCGUCGAUCUGAGGAUGGGUGGGAGUUGUACGGACCUAUAGGGGAGGAUCCGCCUGCAGGUCCGUGACACCGCGACGGUGUCGCACCAGCACCUCGUGCAGCGCGAACGCCUCGUCGGCGGGGGACACCGCCAGCGCGAGGGCAUCGGAGGGCAAGGGCCGCCUGCCGAGGGCAACGCACGAGGGGGCCGACGAUCCCGCCGUAGAGCGGGCACGCAUCGUCGGAGGUAGACGUAUGAGUGCGGGCACACGUGCAUCUGGUGGGAGAAGCGCGCGCAUGGGUGGGCCUGCGGGAGGAGGCGGCGCCGAAGCGAAGAAGACAGGAGAGCGGGGCAUCGAGGUGGCUCUCGGAUGAGGGCGAUGGCGUCUAUGCGCAUCGGGUAGGGGGUGGGGGCAAUGCCUUGGUCUCCACUAUCGUCUUAAUAGAUAGUAGAGAUGAAGAGGAACGAAGGAUGAAUUCCCACUAACAAAACUGAACGAAGGAUGGCUUACAACAGUAUAAAUAAAAAAGAUAGAGUAGGUAAUAGGUGCGGUAAUAGGCUCCUUUUUUGCCUAAAUUUAGUGCGUCACAUUACUAUAAUUACAUAUUUGUUUAAAUUAGUUUUAAUUAAGAUAAAUAGUUAGAAUAUAUGAAGUAUUUUAUAUGACAAUGGUAAUACAUUUACAUAGUACGACCAAUCUUUAUAAAGAGUAGCAUUUUUAAGAAAAGACGUUGGUUUUUAUUUUCGUUGCAAGAUAUGAAUUUAAACAUAUGAAAAGAAAUAUCAGCUGUUCGAUAGGGUUGCUCGGUGGCUACUUACCUACCCCUUCUGGUUCUGCGUGUUCUAUCUGCAAUCAACGACGGCGCGUCUCGACGGUACUGCUAAUUAGCCUCCUAGCCAGCCUCCGCCUGGAGGUCCAUCCCCGACCUCGACGCUUCCCGGCCAAACGCCGACGCCCCUCACCCUCGGCGCAGCGCCGCAGCGUCGCGGUGCUCCAUACCCAUCCCCCUCCAUGGUCGGCGCCUGCAUCCCCCGGCAUCGCGGUGCUGGAUCCCCUCCCUCUCUCGCGUUACGCUAGAGUUCGAGAAGGGGAAAAGCGACGUAGGGUUCGGCAACGACACCUCUGUGUCCCCUCCUCCCUCGCGCACUCAUUUUCCUUCGUCUCGUUGCUACUCAGAGGUUUGACACACUCUCCAAUCUACGUUUCCUAGCUGCUAGGGCUUUUAUUUUUGCAUGCCUCUUCUUACUCUCCGAAUUCCUCUUGGUCGCCUGGCAAAGUGCGUUCCAUCCGAGCGGUGAUGUGAGAUGUGUCCCCCCUAUUCUUCAUCGGUUUGCUUGCAAUGAUUGAGAUAGAUGUGCUCAUUCGCCUUGCAGAAAAUGAAAAAUAAAGAUAUCUGUGAGUAUCUCACAAACCUAAUAACUUAAAGUAUAUAACUGUAUUUUAUUUCUGACUUGACAGUUCCUCUUCAUUUUGUCAGUUGUGCCCAGAUUCAGAGAUGGUUUGACUACCUAAUCAUAUAUGCAUGGUACGUACUAGCUUCUGGUAAAUAUGUGCAUGGGUUCUUUUUCUUACAUAUUUGCUUUCUCUAAAUCUCGGAGCUCUUCCUAUCAAAGCUGAUAUGCAGGAGUUUGUAAAUAUAUACAUACUUUCUUUCACAGAAAUAUCCACUCUCUGACCCCUUAUGUAGCUAAUCUCUUUCUGAAUAAUGUUGAAAAACAAUCAAGUCUGACAGAGACAAGAUCUUAACCAAUAUUUCUACUAGUACUAAUGCUUUGUGGACUCUACCGGUCAACCUCCUUGGCAUUAAACCACAACUCAGUACUACUUAACGCUCACAAACUAAUAGCCCAAUAACUAGACAUAGUACAUCAAUGUAUUAUUUCUACUAAUGCUUCGUUGUACCUAUAGAUUUUUGCACACAACACUUCAUUUCACGUGGCACUUGGGUGUUCAAUUUCAAUGUAUUAUUUGGUUUUUGAGCUGCAACAAGGGUGUGUUCCUAUUUUGUCUGAAAGCAAACAUAGGUGACUUCUGAAAUGACACACAAACGAAAAAACUUUCCAGGUUUGCUGUUAAUGGCUCAAAACAAGAUGAAACCAUGUCCUAUUUAGAACACGAGAACCUGCAGAUUUUUUUAAUAAAAAGUUUAUAGAUAUUAGUGUGCAUUUACUUCCACACGCGAGCCACUGCAAUGUUGUCCAUUAACUUUAUAUAUUAUCGUAAAUGCUUUAAUCUCUUCUAUGCCAUCCUUCCCUAUUAUCACCAUUAGUUCACAUUUAUUUUGACUAACGGACACGAUGUGUAAUUUUUUGCAGGUACAACAGCCAUAAAACUGAAUUUUAUUUGGCUAGAACCUGAAAUGGCGGAAACUCUCAGGAAUCAUGGUGCAACCGUGCAUGGAUCACUUGUCUAAACUAGUUACAUCAUUUUGAUUAAGAAUAAGGAUUACCUGAUGGUUGUCUCCUAUUUUCUGUUGUAGUGCAAACCGUCUAAAGCUGACUGUUGGAUGGGGUUGGCGAAGGUGUGCUUGAAUAAGGAUCACCUGAAGGCGUGGAGUCCCUGGCUGCUGGUUGUUGUGUGUCCUGGCGGGCGACAGUUUGAAUCCCCUGCAGGCAGUGGCGGCUGUAAUAUGUACUAGUAUAAGCAUGCAGACAACAAUUGGAAAUUGUAUGAUUCAUGUGAUCAUUUUCCUUGUAUCUUUUCUAUUGUUGGUUAUAUAUCAGAUUUUAGAAGAUUCUUGUGAUCCUUUUCCUUGUAUUCUUUUCUAUUGUUGGUUAUAUAUCAGAUUUUAGAAGAUUCUUGUGAUCCUUUUCCUUGUAUUCUUUUCUAUUGUUGGUUAUAUAUCAGAUUUUAGAAGAUUCAUGUGAUCCUUUUCCUUGUUUUUUAUUCACCUGCGUGUUUUAUUGAUGUGUGUCUGAGAGAACAGAAACUUCUAGAUUGUUCUUUGUAUUUUUCUUGUAACAUAUCAAUAAAUUGAAUAUAUUUUCCAUCGCGAUCCAGACACAGAACGCAAAGUUGGAUCACGGCUUAGACAUGUCGCGCGCGGCAGGUCCGUAUAUACUACGAUUCCCUUGGCCUUGCGCAGACAUGAGAGUAUAUGACAUAAGGUGGCCUCACCCUCCCUGCACGCCCAGUCGGUUUGGAUGAAAAAAAAAGAAUUCUACGCACAUGCCGCGUCUCGCUCUACACUGCUACUAAUGCUACCACUUUACUGAUGUUGUAAUAUCCAGUGAGCCACUAGGGACAUUUUGCAACAACUGUUCUAGUGAUAGCAAUAACAUCUUUCUCUUGCAACGAAAGUCAUGAUUAUUGCAACGACAAAUAAAGUGGCAAAAAUGUGCAUAUAUUGCAACUACUUUUAAAGGCUGUGGCAAUAACUAACACGUAAUGCUACAACUUUACUGAUGUUGUAAUAUCUGGUGAGCCACUAGGGACAUUUUGCAACAACUAUUCUAGUGGUAGCAAUAACAUCUUUCUCUUGCUACGAAAAUCAUGAUUAUUGCAAAGCACAAGUAAAGUGACAAAAAAGGUGCAUAAAUUGCAACCACUUUUAAAGGUUGUGGCAAUAACUAACACCUAAUGCUACAACUUUAUUGUUGUUGCAAUAUCCGGUGUGACACUAGAGUAAUAUUGCAACAACUGUUCUAGUGGUCGCAAUAACACCUUUCUCUUGCAACGAAAGUCAUGGUUAUCGCAAUGCACAAAAAAGUGGAGAAACGGUCCAUAUAUUGCAACCACUUUUAAAGGUCGUGGCAAUAAAUAACAUCUAAUGCAACAAAAAUAUUGUUGUUGCAAUAUCUGUCGUGGCAUUAGGGUGAUUUUGCAACAACUGUUCUAGUGGUCGCAAUAACACCUUUCUCUUGCAACGAAAGUCAUGGUUAUCGCAAUGCACAAAAAAAGUGGCAAAACGGUCCAUAUAUUGCAACCACUUUUAAAGGUCGUGGCAAUAAAUAACAUCUAAUGCAACAAAAAUAUUGUUGUUGCAAAAUCUGUCGUGGCAUUAGGGUGAUUUUGCAACAACUAUUCUAGUGGUCGCAAUAACACCUUUCUCUUGCAACGAAAGUCAUGGUUAUCGCAAUGCAUAAAAAAGUGGCAAAACGGUCCAUAUAUUGCAACCACUUUUAAAGGUUAUGGCAAUAAAUAACAUCUAAUGCAACAAAAAUAUUGUUGUUGCAAUAUCUGUCGUGGCAUUAGGGUGAUUUUUUAGUAGUGCAUCUUUCUUCUCUACAAACAACACUAGAGCGGCCCAAUGAGAGGUGCUAGGUCUGAUGUAGCCCUUCUCCAACAACUCGUUUAUCUGCUUCUUGAGUUCCACCAACUCCGGCCCGGACACUCUGUAGGCUCUGUUAGAAAUGGGGGGUGCCUGGGAUAAGCUCUAUGGAAAAUUCAACUUUUCUCUUAGGUGGCAUGCAUGGUAACUCCUUGGGGAACACAUCUGAGAAUUCUGGUACUAUUCUGAUGACUUCGAGUGGAUUGACUUCCUCACUAUUGACAGAUAUCUGGUGACAGCUUCCUUUCCUUGGUUCAGACAAGAUCAGCUCCACCAAAACUUCUUCUCCUCACAAGGACACCAACUUCACAGUCAUCUUAUCACAGCUAAGGUCUGCUUGGUACUUGGUCAACCAAUUCAUCCCUAGGAUGACAUCAAUCUCUAGAUCCCGAGUACCCAUUACUAUUAGAUUGGUGGGGAGCUCUAUCCCCCUUAUUUUGACUCUUGCAUUUGGACAAAAUUUAUCUGUUUUGAUCCUCCUACCAAUUGAACUAACCCUCAUAAGCGGGAACAUGGGUGCUACUGAUAUGUUGUGUGUUUCUACCCAUGAUGCAGUCACAAAAGAACAUGUGCCUCUAGUAUCAAACAACACAUUUGCAGGAAGAGAUUCGACUGAGAACGUACCUAGUGCCACUCCUGGGGUCUCCUAAACUGUGUCGGCCUCCAGGUGGUUCACCUUUCCAUACUGAGGAUGCGGUUGGCCAUGGUUGCUUGCUCCCUGCUAAGUGCAUUCUGUCUUGCUGGGGCAUUAGGAGCUGGCUACUGCUGAGCCAUCUUCUUUGGGUGCUGGAUUGCCCAGUGGCCUUGCUCUUUACAAUGGAAACAUCCUCGACCUCCUACUUGCAUUGGGGCUGCCUGGUUGUUCUGAUUAUCUACUGGGUAGGAAGUUGAGGUGCUUGGCUAUUCUAAUGGUACUAUUGUGGCUAAUGAUACUACCUCUAAGCCUAUUGAUGGUUCUGACACUAGUUCUGCUACUGAUAUCACUACGGGUGGCCAUGCUUGAACUGCUGAGAUGAAUUGCCUGAGAAACGUGGGCGACUGUUGCUCCUAGGCUGGGUCCACUCAUCUUGCGCUUUCGGUCUUCCAUCUCCUUGCGCUUUCAAAAACAGUCACGAUUGCUCUGUCAAUCAUAUGUUGGAAGGUAGGGAUGGUAUGAUUCAUCAGCUGGUAAUGCAGGGGAUCAACCAAACCUCUCAGGAAUCGGUACUGCCUCUUUACAUGGGUGUUGACAUCUUCAGGUGCAUAGCAAGACAACUGUAGAAAUCUGUCUCGGUACAUACUGACGAACAUGGGUCCCAGCUUCAGUGCCAGGAGCUUCUCCUUCUUCACUAUCAUAAGGCCCUCUGGAACAUGAUAUCAGUGGAAAUUUUCUCUAAAUUCCUCCCAAGUGAUAGCUUCAGGGUCGGCAUGGGUGGUGAUGUAGGACUCCCACCAGGACUGAGCUGCUCCCCUUAGCAGGCGAUGACCAUAUAGAACCUUCUCUCUAUCAUUACAUUGGGCAGUGUGCAGCUCCUGUUCCACCGUGUGCAGCCAGUAUUUGGCAUCCAUGGGGUCAGAAGAGUGGGAAAAGAUAUGGGGAUGACCUCUCAUGAACUUCGCACGCUUGUCCCUUGGCAUCUGAGGCAUCUGCAUCUAUGGUUGAGGUUGAGGUUGCUGUUGUGCUUGCUGCAUAGCUGCUAGAGUUUGCCCAAAUGCUUGCACUGCUUGGGUGUGCAUGAAGGACAUCUGCUCCACUGUCAUUGGGGUGGCGAUGGAGGCAACUGAUAGGGUGCCUCAUCUUGCGGGGUAGGCUGCUCCUGCUGAGUAUGCCUCCCUCCUCGGUGCCUGUUGUCAAACAUUUGUGGAAGGCAUUCACACAUCAGAACUGAGCUUGCAAUCUUUCAGCAUAAGAAAAGGCAUACAGAGAUCUUCACAACACUGAAUGAACAAACAUCUUCACUGAUUCUCAACACAGCCAAACACAACUUCUCACAUAAAGAGGAAAGUAUAAUUAAAAGGCUUCCCAACUAAAUAACUAACUUUACUAACACUAUAACUAAACCAAACUGCAGGGAACACUCACAUUUUGGUGAUAGUCAUUACAAAUAUCCAAAUCCAUCAUAGGUUCACCAUGACAAGCAUAAAACGUAGGACGAGAAAACUAUCCUGACUAACUAAGACUAAAUAAGACUAAGACACUUGACUUAAGAAUUUAUUACAAACUUUGAUGCUAGCGGUCUAAUGAUCCAAAUCUAUCUUGGUUCUGCAGUCGGGAGUGCCAUAAGCAUGGUACCCUCGCGUCGGUGAGCGGUAUGGGUGUUAAGUCCCAACGGGGGCGGGAGAACCAUACUCCUAGUGAUGGCGCUCUGCGUGCUGAACCCGCAACUCCACGAUCUCAGCAUGAGCCCUACUAAACUUAUCAAGAGUAUGGUCCAGCUCGGUGUUGAGCACAGCGACUAGUUUGACUAUACUGUUCAACCUAGGAUUUCCUUCACCUAUAGGUGAUACAAUCACACUUCCAGUACUGCUAGUCGAGCGACGAGGUUAGUACUUCAGGUUAAGACUGCCAGCCACCCCGCUGAACAAUGAGCAGUACUGCGAAAGUGCAUGUCGUGCAGCAUCCUGCAUGGUUGCCUCUGCAGUGUCCCUCUCAGGGAUAGAAUAGUGCUCUGAGCAGACCUCUGCACCCUAGAGGUCAUCCUCUGAAUGACGCAACAAAUUCUGAAGACUUCCACUGCACUCUGGUAUUAGUGUACUCACUUCCAAGUUCAUACUUAUGCUCUCAUUGCCUUUUUGCUCUUAAUUGACAUUUUUGGUGAGGCAAUGGGGUUAAAGGGCCAAACCUGAUCCCGUUUUGGUGCUUAAUGCCAAAGGGGGAGAAAUUAAGGCCAAAGCAAAUGGAUCCGCCAACCACUUGAGAAUUUUGAAAAUAGUAGAGUUAGAAUUUUUGAUUUGUCCAAAAUACUCUAACUGCAAAAUUUGGUCUCUUGUGGGGGAGAAUUUUGAUUAUGAGAAAAAGGGAGAGUUUUUGACACUUGAUCAAUUUCACUCUUGGAUUAUCUCUCUUUGUGCCCAAACAAGCGUGUUUGACUUAGAGAUAGGAAAAUGAUUUGAUUUGCAAAAACAAACCAAGUGGUGGCAAAGAAUGAUCCAAAUAUGUCAAAUCUUAUGCAAAAAUGAUUUGGUCCAUUUGCAUUGUUGUUGAACUUAUUUUGGUUGCUUUUUGAGGUGUUGGCAUAAAUCACCAAAAAGGGGGAGAUUGAAAGGGAAAUGUGCCCUUGGGCAAUUUCUAUAAUGUUUUGGUGAUUAAGUGCCCAAUAUGUUUAAUUAAGUUCUUAUGUGCCAAAUAAAGUGAGAAGUGCAAAUCAAGGCAAAAGGAAUGUUUCUAGACUUGGUAAAUUGUUUUAUGUACUAACAUGGUUAUCCAAGUGCUAGAAACAGUGACUAAAGAAGAAGAGAGGAAAAGGGAAGGACUUGGCUCUGUGCAGCCAAGCUUCAGCUCGGUCUGGCACACCGGACUGUCCGGUGGUGCACCGGACUGUCCGGUGGUGCACCGGACUGUCCGGUGGUGCACCGGACAGUGUCCGGUGCGCCAGGCUGGUUCGCGGUGAACUCGCCGCUCUCGGGAUUCGACGGUGGCGUACGACUAUAAUUCACCGGACUGUCCGGUGAGCCAACGGUCGCCAGCGCCAACGGUCGGCCACGAAAUCUGCGGGCGACGCGUGGCAGCUCCAACGGUCGAUGGGGGGCACCAGACUGUCCGGUGCGCCAACGGGCCUGGAGCUGCAACGGUCGUCUGUGCCCAAUUUGGAAGGAAAUUGCGCACCGGACAGACUACAGUAGCUGUCCGGUGGCGCGCCGGAGUGUCCGGUGCACCACUCGACAGAAGGCAAGGAUGGCCUUCCAUGUUGAUCUUCAACGGCUCCUAGCUGCCUUGGGGCUAUAAAAGGGACCCCUAGGUGCAUGGAGGAGUACACAAAGCAUUCUCUGAGUAUUCUAAAUCAUCCAGACUCCGCUUCCGCGCAUUCGCUUCAUUGUGCUAGUGAUUUGGGCUCCAUUCGAGUAGUGCACUCUCUGAGUUGUCAUUUGAGCUCAAGUCGUCACUUGUGUGCGUGGUUGUGCUGCGUAUUUGAGUCUUGCGUGUGUUGCUUCUCCCAACCUUACUCUGUGCUUUCUUUGUGAUCUUUAUUGUAAGGGCGAGAGACUCCAAGUUGUGGAGAUUCCUCGCAAACGUGAUAAGACUCUAAAGGAAAAGACCGUGGUAUUCAAGUUGAUCAUCGGAUCACUUGAAAGGGGUUAAGUGCAACUCUCGUCCAUUGGAACGCCACAACGUGGAAGUAGGCAAGUGUUACUUGGCCGAACCACGGGAUAAAAUCGCGUGUCUCUUGUGUUGCAUUCUCUGUGAUUGUUUUGUCCACAAGAACUCAUCUCAUAACUACUUAGUCGCACUAACACUUCUAUAACUAAGUUUUGUGGCUAUUUAGUGGUUGAUUAUACAUGAUCACCUAUUCACCCCCUCUAGGUGCUCUCACUUAUCCCAUUCAUAUUUUCAUGCUGGAAAUCAGUUUCUUGGAUUUUUGGUGGAUAUCAUUUCUUCAUGAAAAAUACAUAGGAAUUAGCCUUUGGUACUAUCAAAAACGGUCAUUCGUGGUCGUUUUCAGCCAAAACUAUUGGCCGUGUACUCAAGGAUCUUUGGUGAGAGGUUCCUAUUACUUACCCCAUACAUAUUUCCUUCUUAACAUUUAGCUUCUUGUAUUUUUGGAAGAGACUUUAUUCAUGAAAAAUCCAUAGGUGUUAGCGUUUAGUAUUGUCGAAAAUAAACGUUCAAGCCUGUCAUGGGUGUAGUAAAUCCAAAGGACUCAUUGUUUAUGAGCAGAAACUAGAUAGAAAAAUAUUGUCUCAGCUAGGUACAUCAUAGUGGCCCUAGAAUGUCUGAGACUCAAUAGAUCUAGACAUCAAAAAACCUGAAGUUAGUAAACUAGCUAACAAAAAAUGUGAAACAUGAAACCGGCCCGAGAUCAUGGGAUGUCCAAAAUCUACACAAGAAAAUGGAUUGAAGAAACAACACAUGCUUGAGUGUCUAGAUUGCCAUGUUUGACAUGUCGGAACCAACAAAAGUGUAGAAAUCAUAAUCCGAAAGGAGCAAAAGGAGUGGAACAAGAGUGAAGAUGAUUUGUUGUUUAUAGUUUACUUUAUUUUAUAUAAGAAUUUAAUAAGGGAGUUGAACAAGAGUGAAUGUGAUUUAUUGUUUAUAGUUUUUAAAGGGCAUGGAGUUGAACAAGAGCGAUGUUGAUUUGAUGUUUAUAGUUUUUAAAGAUUAUUUGAUGUUUAUAGUUUUUUAUAAGGAAAUAAGUAGGGAACUGAUGAUGACUACAUGCUUUUGCUUUUCGUUUCUUUUUUUAUGAGAGGAGUGCAUGUCAUGCGUUUGUUUUGAACUUUUGCAUGAGAGGAAAAGAGCUAGGACCUACUUAUAGCAAUGGUAUACAUGUGUUUGUCUUUGAACUAGCUGGCCAGGGUUCUUUCAAGGAACAAAAAUAGGCCGGCCAGCGAUGUCCGUGGCGUGCCAUACAUCAAUGUCUAGCUCCCUUGCGUCCAUUGUCCAUAAAUACAUGCGCAUCUGCAACAUCGAUCUCCACACACACACAUCCAUCAAAGAAACAGGCACACAAGAACAAAUACCUCGCUACCAACAAUGGCCUCCAGGUCCUCCAUCCUACUUGCAACGUCGAUGCUGGCUGCGCUGUUUGCGGUUGGUUUGUGCACCACCCCGCUCACCUUCCAGGUUGGCAAGGGAUCCAAGCCUGGCCACCUGAUCCUCACCCCCAAUGUUGCAACCAUAUCCGACGUGGAGAUCAAAGAGCACGGGGGCGAUGACUUCUCCUUUACGCUCAAGGAGGGCCCGACCGGCACCUGGACGCUCGACACCAAGGCCCCGCUCAAGUACCCCCUUUGCAUCCGCUUUGCUGUCAAGUCCGGUGGCUACCGCAUCGCUGACGACGUCAUCCCCGCUGAUUUCAAGGCCGGCACCACCUAUAAGACCACACUCAGCAUCUAAUCAGCCUCUGAUGAUGAAUUAUAUUUCAAAAGAGCUCACCUGGUGCUCAUGUUAGCAAGACAAUAUUUUUUCUAUGGUUAUUUUGUGGCACCAAACCACCCAAGAAAUAUGUGAUGCUACAUGUCCCUUCUGAUGCCUUGUUGUGUUGGGUUGAUAUUAUUACAUAAACUAAAUAAAUUAUUUAUUUAAGAUUUUAGGAGAAAUAUGUUGAUAUGGUCUACCUCCAAUUAAUCAGCUAAGGGCAUCCCAUUCAACCCUCAUGAUUGUACUGUUAUCCCAGGCGGUCUCUCAACGAACAUGUCCUUAUGGAGAGGUACUCGGAAAACAUCCUGAUCCACCUAAAAUACCACAAGUUCAUAAUCAUAAUCAUAAUGAAUCAUAGUACCAUAAAUUAAUUCUCAUCAUGUUCAUUGACUAGGGUAAAGCACUAGCAUGUAGCUGAUUAUAAUAACCCAACCCAAAAAGGUAAUCAAGGACAGGAUAAAUAGAAAGCUAGUCAAUCCUUAGGUUAUUUAUAGUAUGCAGGACAGUGAAUUAUAAAGUAAAUAAGACAUAAAAGGUCAGAUGACACUUGCCUUCACCAAACUGUUGAUGCUCAGGGCUUCUCCUGCAAGUUCCUCCGACAACGCAGACAGAACGUUAUCUAUGCGAGUGCGAACACACAUUCAACAUUCUUGUAAUAGAAAGGAACAGUACACCAUACAAGGGAACACAUUAUAAACACGUGCAAUACAAAAUGGCGUUCGUUUCUACGGUCACACCAGAAAAAAGAAACGCCAAGAUCGAAGCUACGAUUGAGAAGUUAUUGUGUCUACGUUGUACAAAUAUGAAAUAGAACAUUUAAUUCGACAUACUUGCAUUAAUCGGCAUUUAUUAAAUGUAAACUAGAACUAUCGCCUAAUUUUAAUUAAUUCUCGUUACACAAGCAGCUCUCGGUUAAUUAAACAAUUUAAAUUAUAUUAGAGACUCUAAGUGAGACGAAUUAAUGAUGCGAGAUAAAGUACACAACGCGCGAAACAACACGUCAGCACGCGCACGGCGUGCGGACCAACACGACACGCGAGGGCAAUUAUUAAUAAAGAAUAUUUCGAUUAAGGUUAACCAUGUUAUCGUUUAUUUAUAAAUGCGCAAAUCAAGACCCUAAUUUAGAUUUUAAAUUAGUAAGCUACAUUAUUAACCAUCGGUCAAACAAACAUUUAAAUAAAUUAAAUAAAUAUGUAAAAAAGCAGAGAAUAAUGGUACUAACAUGUAGAUAAUUUUAAUACGAAUCUAACGCGACUUGAACGGAGUGAAUCGGAUUUAAAACGCAAAAGAUAUCGCGAUUUUAAAUUGAAAAUCCUAUCUGCAUGCAGUUGUAAAAUUCCAAUGGGGUUUUUCGCAAAAAGACCAUCUUCUUCCUCCCUCCAUCAUCUUCUCUCACCAUGGCAAGGAAGGGGAGGAGGGACGGGGGCCGUGCAAGGCGGGGGGGAAGGAAGGGAGAAGAGGAAGGUGCUGCGCGGGGGAGACAGAAACGAAGAAUUUCCAUACACAACAAUAGUGGAGGGCUCACCGGAGAAGACGACCUCGCCAGAGCCGAGGGCAAAUUUGGUGAUUGACGACGAACCGUCGGUUAGAUCGACGAAUCGAAGGCACCAGGACGAAGAUCUCGACGAGACGAACACUGCGGUACCCUCAGAUUCCACCGACGACAAAAGUAAUUGCUCACCGAAAUUGUCGUCGUCUUGAACUUCAGCGAGCAAUUUCGGGAGUUUUAGAUCUAAGCUGGGAACGAGUUUCGAAAUUCGAAAAGAGCUCGACGAGAGUAUUUCAGCCAUAUAUAUUUCUAGGGUUUGAAUAAAUUUUAUUUUUCAUAAUUAUCCCAUUUUUAAAAUUACAGAUAAUUCCAGAAAAAAAGCUGAAAUCAUUUUUAAUGCUCGAAAAAAAUCUCGAUGGUUCUAAAAUUUCUAGGAAAAUUCCUAGACAUGUUUUGGCACCCAAUAAACUCAAAAACCAUAUUUAGCACUUUUGAAAAUAUUUUAAGUAACUCAAAUAAAUGUAUUUUUAAUUUCAGAAAAUAGAAAAAUAUUCAUAAAAUUAUGAAAAUUUACGGGAAACUUCUAUAAGUCAUAUGAACAUGUUUCAAAGACUUCUUGCACUUAGAAACACUAUGCAACAGUAUGAAUGCAACAACCAUUACACUUCUAGAGCCCACGGCAACAUAGAACAAAAUAACUCUCUAUUGUUUUAAUAAAGGGAAAAGAAAAGCGAAGAAAGGAAAGGGUAACACCUGAAUUUUGAGUAUAGAGCAAAGAAAAUCUUAUUCGCCAAAAUUCAGGGUGUUACAGACCUAUCCCCAUUAAAAGAAUCUCGCCCCGAGAUUCAACGUCGGCAGCAAAGAGUAUAGGAUACUUGGCUUUCAGAUCAUCUGCACGUUCCCAUGUUGCUUCUUCUUCAGAGUGGUGACCCCAUAUGACUUUGCAAAUUCUGAUGGUAUUCUCUAGUUGACUCUGUCUGCUGUCUCCAGAAUCUGUGUUGGUUUCUCCUCAUAUGUCAGGUCUUCUUGGACUUCCAGUCCUUCCAUUGGCAACUGCUCUUUGGGUACUCGCAAACACUUUCGGUCCACUCAUCUUGCGCUUUCGGUCUUCCAUCUCCUUGCGCUUUCGAAACAGUCACGAUUGCUCUGUCAAUCAGAUGUUGGAAGGUAGGGAAGGUAUGAUUCAUUAGUUGGUAAUGCAGGGGAUCAACCAAUCCUCUCAGGAAUUGGUACUGCCUCUUUACAUGGGUGUUGACAUCUUCAGGUGCAUAGCAAGACAACUGUAGAAAUUUGUCUCGGUACAUACUGACGAACAUGGGUCCCAGCUUCAGUGCCAGGAGCUCCUCCUUCUUCACUAUCAUAAGGCCCUCUGGAACAUGAUAUCAGUGGAAAUUUUCUCUAAAUUCCUCCCAAGUGAUAGCUUCAGGGUCGGCAUGGGUGGUGAGGUAGGACUCCCACCAGGACUAAGCUGCUCCCCUUAGCAGGCGAGGACCAUAUAGAACCUUCUCUCUGUCAUUACAUUGGGCGGUGUGCAGCUCCCGCUCCACCGUGUGCAGCCAGUAUUUGGCGUCCAUGGGGUCGGAAGAGUGGGCAAAGAGAUGGGGAUGACCUCUCAUGAGCUUCGCACGCUUGUCCCUUGGCAUCUAAGGCAUCUGCAUCUAUGGUUGAGGUUGAGGUUGCUGUUGUGCUUGCUGCAUAGCUGCUAGAGUCUGCCCAAUUGCUUGCACUGCUUGGGUGUGCAUGAAGAACAUCUGCUCCACUGUCAUUGGGGUGGCGAUGGAGGCAACUGAUAGGGUGCCUCAUCUUGUGGGGUAGGCUACUCCUGCUGAGUAUGCCUCCCUCCUUAGUGCCUGUUGUCAAACAUUUGUGGAAGGCAUUCACACAUCAGAACUGAGCUUGCAAUCUUUUAGCAUAAGAAAAGGCAUACAUAGAUCUUCACAACACUGAAUGAACAAACAUCUUCACUGAUUCUCAACACAGCCAAACACAACUUCUCACAUAAAGAGGAAAGUAUAAUGAAAAGGUUUCCCAACUAAAUAACUAACUUUACUAACACUGUAACUAAACCAAACUGCAGGGAACACCCACAUUUUUGUGAUAGUCAUUACAAAUAUCCAAAUCCAUCACAGGUUCACCAUGACAAGCAUAAAACGUAGGAUGAGAAAACUAUCCUGACUAACUAAGACUAAAUAAGAGUAAGACACUUGACUUACGAAUUUAUCACAAACUUUGAUGCUAGUGGUCUAAUGAUCCAAAUCUAUCUUGGUUCUGCAGUCGGGAGUGUCAUAAGCAUGGUACCCUCGUGUCGGUGAGCGGUAUGGGUGUUAAGUCCUAGCGGGGGCGGGAGAACCAUACUCUUAGUGAUGGUGCUCCGCAUGCUGAACCCGCAACUCCACGAUCUCAGCACGAGCCCUACUAAACUUAUCAAGAGUGUGGUCCAGCUCGGUGUUGAGCACAGCGACUAGUUUGACUAUACUGUUCAACCUAGGAUUUCCUUCACCUAUAGGUGAUACAAUCACACUUCCAGUACUGCUAGUCGAGUGACGGGGUUAGUACUUCAGGUUAAGACUGCCAGCCACCCCGCUGAACAAUGAGCAGUACUGCGAAAGUGCAUGUCGUGCAGCAUCCUGCAUGGUUGCCUCUACAGUGUCCCUCUCAGGGAUAGAAUAGUGCUCUGAGCAGACCUCUGCACCCUAGAGGUCAUCCUCUGAAUGACACACCAAAUAGGUAGUCUCCCAACAGUCCGGGUACAUCCCGUGACUAUGCUGGUAGACUACACAAUGGUACUCGAUCGACCAGGUGUGUCGGUCCAUAGCCCAGCGCAACAAAGUGUCGAGUGCGUCGUGAAAGUGACAACCACGAGCGGCGUCACGAGUGAUGGAUCCGACGAUCUAUCCUUCUGGCUCCUGCUCCUCAGAAAGCACGGUGAUGUGGCUUGAGCUGCCACCAUCGUCGUCUCCAUCAGGAUCUCCUUCAGCAGCUCCUCCAACAGCUGGGACGCCCUGUUGUGGUGCCGGGGGUGCCUCCAACGGGGGCACAGGGGAGAGAUGCCUCACAGACUCCACCUCCUGCUAUGGCGGGGAAGAAGAAUCCUGCUGCUCCCUCUCCUGUUACCGACCUUCCUGCUCUUCAAGCAGGAGAUGGUGCAGCCUCUCCAAGUGACUUGACUGACCGGUCACUGUGCGGCGAAGCGAACACUCUGUGGGGUAUAGAUAUCGUCGGGUCCACUAGACGGCGAAAGGUCCUUGCAUGAGGCCUCGGGCUAGUUACCCCGUAAGACCAUCUCUUCGUGGGCUAGGCAAAAACUACUGGUGGAAUGGGCCGGUCCAAGAAGGUGAUGGACUCGGGUCUAGAUGGUCCGUCAAAUCGUGCGCUACCCCAAGAAACCGCUCGACUUUCCUGCGCCUGGCAGCCUCUAAUGUCGGGCGGAUCAGGGAUGAGUCGGCGGGAUUUUCGGGAGAUUGGUUCAGUCGGUUCACUAUUAGUUAGGAGAUACGUGAUCAUCAUGUACGUAUGGAGUGCCCCACGGUCGUGUAUAUAAGGCCUAGGGGGAACCCCAUUAUUUUCAUCCUAUCUAUCUAUCUCAUUAGCCUCUCUCCAUUCAGGAGACACCACUUGUAACACACCACAUACAGAUCCACCACAGGAAGUAGGGUAUUACGCCUCUCAAAGCGGCCCGAACCUGCAGAAAAUCGCAUGUCUCUCUCUUUCAUGCUCCCAGCAUGAACCAUUGAGCUACAAUCAACAACACCAUCCUACCCAAAAGCACCGCAACGGUAACCCUGGGUGUGCGGUCGGACACUAAACACUGACAGCUGGCGCGCUAGGUAUGGGUGUGUCGUUGAUCAGAGCUAGCUCAAUGGCCAUCACCUCCAAGUGCAAGAUCGCCCUUCGCCCCAGAACUAUGUUCUGCUUUGGAACCAUCUCAUGCAUAGAGGAUGAAGAGGGAACUCUGCACCACGUAGCGGAUCCGCCUGAGAAAAAGCUUUCCUCAGGAACCCCGAGAGAAGCCAAAGCAAAGCAGAGGGUGGCUCCACCAUUCGUAGCUCGGGGGAAGAUGAUCCCUUACAAACCGAGGGUCAGAAACCCUUGGGAGAAGAAAGAUAGACCGGUCAGGGUCUCGGCUAUUCGAAAAACUUCGUUGUCCACCUUGCCCACAAAGGACUGGACAUGGAUCACUCGAAAGAAAGAAGCAAAUGUCCCGAGUCAGGGGACGAGAACACGACGAGCCAUCCUUCUGAUACCUUCACCCUCAAAGGAGGACGGAAAAAAGAGCACCAUUGCGUCAGCUCCCUUCUACCCCGAUCUCCUCUUCAUCAUGGGGAGAGUGGAGUUCGCACCCAUCUUUGACAAUGAGCCUACCAUGCAAGGGGAAGAACCUCCCCAGCGUGAAGCACGGCGAUAGAGGAACAAAUGCUGGAACGUACGGCGACAUCAUGAAGCCGGGGGACAGGAUCUGGCGCAGCUCGUUUCAAGAGACGAAGCCUCAGAGAUGGGAGAGACUCACGAUGAACGAAUGCAAUGAGAAAGGCCUAACUCUCGCCGCCGCAAUCGCCGACAAGCUCAAGAUCGAGAGCGAGAGCAAACCGAAUAAGCCGCUAGGCUACGGCGAGAGAAUCCUCUCUUCGCUCGGAACAUGUACCCCGACUUUUGUCGUGCAAUGAACACGCCAAGUGAGGUCGGAGGGGUACUGGCGCAGAUAGCUGACGAUCUCUCGUGAACCCCAGAUACGAAAGGCUACCGGCGGCUACUUACUCAGGUAGCCAAUCACCUUCUACCCCUCACUCAUCCUGCGAAUGACCUACGUCACACCAUCAACAGCCGGCGAGACACGCGGAGCUCCAUCAACGCUUCGCGCGACCGACGGCAUGAAAACGAGAUAAGGCGCUGGGAGGAGUACGAUCGAGAUCACGGUGUACCAGCUCGGAGUUGCACCACCCGAGUUGAGUCGGCUGCAGCCUCAACUAGUGGGCCGUUCCAGGGAUGAUCGAGACGACAUACUACCGACUCCCCUCCUCGGGACCGACAACACGAACAUUGACAGGAAGACAUGUGCAGAGUCUCCGCGCUUACUCCGUGUCUCCGGGCCAUCCAGUGGCCCCCAACUUCAAGGUCUCCAACGUCGACAAGUACGAGCCUAAGCAGGAUUUAGGCGGCUGGUUGGCUGUCUACAUGACUGCUGCCCGAGCCGCCAGGGCAACAGAGGACGUGAUGACGGCGUACUUGCCCAUUGUCCUGGGGCAAGACGCACUGCAGUAGCUCCGACAUCUACCCUGGCACUGCAUCGACGAUUGGAGUGACUUUAGUCAUCGCUUCAUCGCCAAUUUCCAGUCCCUCUCCGACACAACCAUGGGACCUCAAAUCCAUCAGGCGCCAGAACAAUGAAACCCUCCGAUCAUUCCUCAAGAGGUUUCAGACAAUGAGGAACCGCAUCCCCGAAGUUGCCGACACGGCGGUAAUUGAAGACUUUUACCGGGGAUCCAACGACUCGGCCUUUGUCUGAGCCAUACUCUAGAAAGCACCUGCCACCUCUGAACAAUUGUUUCGGGAGGUGGACAUUUGCAUCACCGCGGAUGAGUGAGCCCAGGACCUCAUCGGGGGCACGAAAUCUGCGCCACCCGCGCUGCGGUGAGAUGUGAACCAGUAGCCGGACAGGCGCUGGGAGAAGAGGCCCCACGAGGAGGUGCACACCGCUGGGCCAUCUGCCGCUCGGGCCCGCGGCACACUCCGCAGAGGGGUACGAAAACUGGAUGAAAUCCUCGACGCCCAGUGUCCGCACCACAAGGACAUGCGCCACACCCUAUGAAACUACAGGGACUUCAAGCACUCCGUCGGGCAUGGCCGACCAUUCUAGCCUCUACCGCCUCCAUCGCCACGAGGAGAGCCUGGCAAGCCCAGGCAGCCUCAGCAGCAGGAAGGGGGGAGGGGUGGAGCUUUCCCAUGCGUUGACAGGGAGGUCAACGUCAUCUUCGGAGGUCACGGAGCAUAAGAAAACAGGAGGCAGCAAAAGUUCAACGACCGGCAGGUCCUAGUGGCCACCACCAGUACCCUAGCUCCUUACUAGGAGUUAGAGCACGCGAUAACCUCCAGCCGAGCUGAUCAAUGGCUCAACUUUGAUCAUCCCGGUAAGUACCCGCUUCUCGUUGAUCCAGUGAUCCAAGAGAGCCGAGUAAAGAAAGUAUUAGUGGACGAGGGAAGCAUCAUCAACUUCACCUUCCCCCGGACGCUCUAGGCCCUGAGGGUUGCAGUCAAAGACCUCACUGAGUCAGAUACUCCUUUCUUCGGCAUCAUGCCGACUGAAGGGGAGUACCCACUCAGACACAUCUACUUGUCCGUCACCUUUGGAACCCCAGAGAACUACAAAACCGAGUUCCUGAGGUUCGAGGUGGCGCGUUUCGACUACGGGUACAACACCAUCAUUGGAAGGCCAGGACUAGCAAAGUUCAUGGCCAUUCCACAUUACCCGUACAUGAUACUGAAGAUGCCAGGACCUCAGGGAGUCAUCACCAUGCGCGCUGAUUUCCAAGGCGCCGUAGAGUGCUUCCGGGGAGCCCUUCAAACAGCUCUUACCACCGGGCCUUCGGUAGUUCUUCCCGCACAGGCGAACAACAAGCUGGAGGAGGAAAAUCUCAUAAUACCUGCUAACAAAGCUCAGGCCAGGACCUCUAUACGGCCAUCUAAAGAAACUAAGAGGAUUAAUCUGGGAUUCUCUGAUGAACGCAAGACUGCCAUCAUCAGCUGCAGCCUCAAUGACAAAUAGGAAAGCACGCUCGUCCGGUUCCUGCAAGAUAACCGGAAUGUAUUUGCAUGGCAACCUGUGGAUAUUCUGGGAGUCCCAAGAGAACUGGCCGAGCACACUCAAAGUGUAUCCACAGGCCAGGCCGAUUCGAUAGAAGCUACGUCGUUUCACGCCUGAUAAAAGGGAAGCUAUUCUCGCCAAGUUAGCUCGCUUAGUGUCAGUAGGAUUCAUUAGAGAAGUACUACACCCUGAGUGACUAGCAAAUCAUGUUCUUGUACUAAAAAAGAAUAAAGUUGAUUGGCACAUGUGCGUUGACUAUACUGAUCUCAACAAACAUUGCCCAAAGGAUCCCUUCGGGCUCCCUAGGAUAGAUCAGGUAGUUGACUUGAUCGAUGGCUGCUCUAUGCUCUCCUUCCUAGAUUGCUACUCCGGGUAUCAUCAGGUCAGCUUGGCAAAAGAAUACGAGGAGAAGACUUCUUUCAUCACACCAUUCAGAGCUUUCUGCUAUACCUCCAUGUCGUUCGGCCUCAAGAACGCUGAAGCAACUUACCAGAGAGCCAUCCAAACAUGCUUAGCCAAUCACUGGGGCAAGCGAUUGGAAGCUUACGUUGUUGAUGUAGUUAUCAAGAUAGAAAACUUCAUCGAGGAUUUGCAACUGGUCUUCAACAGUCUGAGGCACUACCGGUGGAAGCUAAACCCAAAAAAGUGUGUCUUUGGAGUGCCAGCCGGAAAGCUGCUUGGAUUAUUUGUCAGUCAUCGAGGAAUAGAAGCAAAUCCGGAGAAGAUUGAGGCGAUCAUGAGAAUGGAAGCGCCGCGGUCACAGAAAAAGGUGCAAAGGCUCACUGGGUGCAUGUCAGCGCUAAGCAGGUUCAUAUCAAGGCUAGGCGAGAAAGGAAUGCCAUUCUAUAAAUUGCUCAAGAAGGUGGACAAGUUUCAGUGGACCACAGAAGCAUAGGAGGCUCUAGAGGCACUGAAGAAGUUCUUGACACUCCACCAAUACUCAAGCCACCACGCCGAGCUACGCCCUGUCAACCGGCAGAAGAUCUGCUCUGUAUAUGUAACACCCCUGGUGUUACUAGCACUAAAACUUGAGCAUAACAUCAUGUGCAUUGACAUUUCAUAUUGCUUUUUUCACCUAGAAUGCAUUUACCAUGUAGAAAUUUCAAAUAAGUUCUGGUGAUGUGGCUUGAAGUAUGGUUAACCCUAGGGUAGGGUAUUAAACCCUGAGUUAGGACUUAUGGAGGUAAGUGAAGCCCAAAUAAGUUAAAACCUCAAAGGACAUGAGAAAUGGUCAUAAGGUAUCACAUGUGAUGGACCUUGGUGGCACCAAAACCCUAAUGUGCCUAAAACCCUAAAAACAAACCCUAGAAACCCAAAUUGAAACCCUAGGGGGUUAAGUGUAAAUUUUGUGCACUUUUGGACCAAAGUGCAAACAUCAAAGUACUAGAACAUUAAAAAUCAAGUACUUUUAAUUUUUUAGGAUUUCCAAGUCAAAUGAUGAAGUUUGGACUUAUUUGCAGAAAGUACCCCAUGAACCUCAUAUGCUUAAAUCUGAAUUCAGUUGAAUGGGGUCAACUUUUGAGCUCUAUAUCUCAGAAUUCUUGGGGAUUUUGCUCUUGGUCAAUGUAGCAAACUUGUAGAGCUAUGUAAGGAGAACAAAUUUUAUUAAGUAACUAAGCCCUAGUGCUACAUGAAAGUGGGAGAAAAACAGACCUGAAGUUGGUCUGUCAGUCGAGUACAGCUCUGAAACUGGACUGACAAUAAACUAGGACCAAGUUUGAGGGCUAUUUCAAGUGUGAUUUAGUGAGAAUUGAAGUAUGGUGGCUAUAGCAAGAUUAGAGCUGGAUUAUAGGACCACAACUUUGCUAAAGGUGGAUUAGCACGUUAUCACAUGAAAAUUGGAGAUCUGGGCGCUGCAAACUGCUUUGUCAGGCGCUCUGAAUGUCGUUCUGAUGGUAUAGUGCCACAGAAAGAUCUCAGGUUCAGUCCCCCUAGCCGCCGGUGACCUCUGCGCAAGGAUUCGUGCUGAUCGCAGCGAUUCAUGCUGGACUCGGGCAGGAUAGUGCCGGGAGGGUGAAAAGAUCAGAAGGGGAGCGGAUUUGGUCGCGUGGUGAAGCUUAUCAACCGCGCCUGUAGCCGUGCAACGUGUCUAGACCACCGGUGUAAUUGUGGAAACUCCAGCGACCUCAAUUAUGCCACGCCGUGGCUCUUUACUGCGCGGUAGUAACCAUGGCACGCCUAGGCUUACCAUCUCUGAACUGCUGCACCGGUGAACGCGACGACUAAGCCACCAGUGACCUUCUUCCUCUCCGGCCGCCAGCACGCCAUGCCAAAAUUAGGAGCCACCGCCCUUGGAAACUAUAAAUUGGUGCCCCAGCCUACUCCGCUAAGUAAUUGUGCACCCAGUGAACUAGUCCUCGCCUCCAAUCGUCCCUCACAACUCCCCAAUUUGGGAUUUUCCCCAAAUCAGUCAAAACUCCGCCAUGAGUGAGCUCAUCGUGGCUAGCUCUCUAUAGGUCUGUUCACGUCCUCCUCACUCUCGUUUCAACAUCCCUGUGUGCUAUAGAUUCUUAGCAGCCCGACCAAUUGAACUAGACCGCGCUAGAUUGCUGGGAACACCUCGGUUCAUCCAUAGUUCGCGCCAUCAUCGUGGACAGAGAGAUUAGGAGCUAGAACCUUGCAAUUGAUUGAGGGGUAAUGAUCAUUAGGGGUUGAAUUAGGUGUCAGCCACACCGGAGCGCCGGUCGUUGCGUUUUCCGGCCAGUACUGGCUCGCCGGACCAACUGCUCCACCGUCCAUGGUCGAGGGUCUCGACGUGUGAAGAAAUAGAAAAGGGAAGGGGCUAUCUGCAAAUGUCAGUGACACAUAGGAAUAGUGCGCAGGAGUCUUCACGAGUUAUUUAAAAGAGCAAGGUCCUCUGCGCAAAGUGGACACCGCGGGCGCGCGCGGGCGCGCUUUCGCCUGUGCGUGGGCCGGCUUGGGCUAGUUUCAGCCCAGUACUAUGCACCUUUUUCAUUUUUCUUUUUCUACCAGACUUAGGAAAUUCAUAGGAAAUCAUAGAAAAAUGGUAAAAAUAUGAGACCAAUUUUUGUGGAUUCCUAAAUUUCUCUAGUAAUUAAUAAAAAUAGUUCCAAGAUUUUUAGCCCAAACCAGGAAUUAUUUAGUACUUAAAAGGGGCCAAAACCUAUACUUUUGGAAUUUUAGAAAUUAUUUAAUACCUCCAAAAAUCACCAAACUUUUUGGAUAAGCCUAAUAUGAUAUUUAGAUCCCAUGAGUGAAGUUUGACUUGCUUUGUACAUUGUUUGAUGCCUAAACCAAAAACCCUAGCUCCUUAGGGUAAAACUGUCUAACCCUACUAGGGUAUUGACCUAGAAGACCAUAGUUUCCCUCGUACAACGUGAAGGAAAGUUGUAUUCAAGAUACAAACUUGAUGUAUCUCUUCUAUCAUUGCAUUUUCAUAAGAAUUACAUGAGCAUUCAUAGUUAUAUAUGGUUAUGUAUAGAGAACGAGGAAGAAAUAACUGUUGAAGAAGAGGAGGCUGCUCCAUCAACAGAAAAUCCACCUGCCGGGAACUGUUUUUACUUUGACAUCUGUGGAACAGAGCCCGACUCUCCUACAAAACAAGGCAAGCCCAGGUGCAUUUGCCACCUCCUUGCUGUUUUAAAAUCUUUAUCACCUUUUUGAUGCAUUAGGUGAUAGGAGUUGUGUGCUAAACAAUUGAUGCAUUUCCUUCCUUGGAAAAGUGAAUACCCUUCCUUGAUACCCUUUUAUGAAAAGGAUUUUUAUGAUUCUUAGCCUUGCUUUAGAAAAACAUAAUGUUUUGUUUUAAAAACAAAAGGUCAUGCUUCACAGUGGAUGGGAAUGUUUUCAAAAAUAAAACUUGAUGGUGGAUCCAUCAUGGCCAUGAUGGGUUCAACAUCAGAAAAGAUGUACCUCUGCUGGGUACCAAACUUUGGGUUUGAAAUGAUAAAGCUAAGACCGGACGGGUGACUUGCAAGAGAAGAGAGUCUCUGUGUAGUGUCUCCGUCUAAGUCGAUUAAGGACCGUGUCGAUGUAGGCUUGCUGAUUGAGGACCUUUUAACUGGUCACAUGCCUCAUCAUGGGUAAGCUUUCCCUCGGGCAGACUAAUACCAGAAAGGCCAACACGCAAUGGGAGUGGAGAGAUGGCGAGAGUAGUGUGUACCCUCCGUGGCAAGAGGCUGGACGGUGGUGUAUCUGUGCUCUCGGUUGGCGUGAACCCGGUCUGGUCUUAAGAACCCCGGUGGCGAGUUGACAUAUGCAAGGGUUAAGUGCUACAUAUGUCGUGUGAUUGGAGAUCCCCAGCUGUGUAUUAAUCGAUUCGGAUCACCGUUACUUCUCAGACAUGAAGACUUGGUCACUGCCCUACAUGUAGCAUUCCAGUGAACUAAAAAGGGUUGAUAAAAGGAUGGCUAGUAUAGGCCAAGUGCUUGAACUAGGGUAGAAAGAACUCUAGUGACAGGUAAUGACUUAACUUGCUAAUAAAACUGGAUUUUAAGGAUCCACUAUUAGUAAGCAUUUUUUGCAAACAGAGUCUUGAUUCUUGGUUAAGCCUUACCUUGACUUCCUUAAGCCAGCAUAUCCUUGAGAGUCUUUUCUUUUGACGGGUAAGACUUGCGAAAGUACACUUUGUACUCAGGGUUUUCGAACCCAUGUUGUUGUAGGUGAGGAAACAACAGACUUUUGCUGUUUUUUCUCUAAGGUGGUGCCCAAGGACGAACCUCAAUAGUGAAGUGGUUGCGGGAGGAUGUUGGCCUCCCUUUUGAAAAACAAUAUACUUUUAUGCUGGAGGGGUUUUUGCCUCCCAAGUCUGUAAUAAUACUUAUGCACUCAUACACCCUGGUUUUGUAAUAACUAUAACACUCUCUCUAUAUUUUGAUGAAUAUAAAUUAAGUUACUGUAAAUCGUUUCCGCUUAUUCGUUCCUCCGAUGUGUUGUAAUAUCUGCGUGACGGGUGAAACGCUCUUGAGCGAGGAAAAGGAUACAGAUACCGAACUUGUCAAGUGAUUAUUUGCAUCUACAGGGUUGUCCAAGGUUCCUUGGACAAGGACAACUAUAGGUGGGCCUAAUGACUUGGGAGGUUCCGUCACAGUAUAUCUCCUGCAUGACUCACGUGGUAAGCACCAUGUUAGUAGUCGAGUGGGCAGAGGAAGGACACACAUACCCGGUAUAACAUCUAGUUUACUUCAUCAGCGAAGUCCUCGGGCCCUCAAAGAUAAGCUAUCCUCAAGUCCAAAAGCUGUUGUACGCGGUACUUCUAACCACUCGCAAGCUCCGACACUACUUUGACAACCACAAAGUCAUAGUAGUCACAGGAUUUCCAUAGGUGAUAUUCUCCAUAACAAAGACGCUAUUGGAAGAAUAGCUAAGUGGGCAUGCAAGCUCAGAGCCUAUGACAUAGAGUUCCGACCCCGCACGGCGAUAAAGACUCAGGCACUGGUUGACUUCAUAUCAAAAUGGACUGAGCACCAGGUCCCGAAAAGCCCAGAGGUCGCUGAAGUAUGGAGAAUGUACUUUGAUGGCUCGCUGAAGCUGCAAGGAGCGGGGGCAGGGAUUCUCUUUAUUGCUCCUGGAGGUGAACAAUUCAAGUAUGCACUCCAGCUUUUGUUUCCGGCAUCCAAUAAUGCAGUAGAGUACGAAGCACUGGUCCACGGGCUGAGCAUCGCGGUUUCACUUGGCAUCAAGAAGUUGAUGGUGUACGGCGAUUCACUAGUAGUCAUAAGUCAAAUAAACAAAGAUUGGGACUUCUCGAUCGACUCAAUGGGCAAAUAUUGUGUAGCCGUGCGAAAGCUGGAAGACAAGUUCAAAGGAUUGGAGUUCACCACGUGGAAAGGGAUCACAAUGCAGUAGCUAAUGCAUUAUCGAAACUGGGGUCCAGUCGGGCCUAAGUUCCACCUGGGAUCUUCGUCCAAGAAAUACAGCAACCAAGCAUCAUCACGGAUCAGAUGGAAGAAUGCAACGCCCUGAGUCAGCUAGAGGCGGAUCCCAAUGACUGGAGAGAGUCGAUCAUCAGGUACAUAAAGAACAAAGAGGAACCGGAUGACGAGUCCAUAGCAGAGCGCAUUGCAAGAUAGUCGGCCCACUAUACCAUCAUAGGGGGCCUGCUGUACAGAAGAGGCACAGGAGGAGUCCUCAUGAAGUGCAUCCAUUCGGCUACCGGGAGACAGCUAUUAGAUGAUAUUCAUGCUGGGAAGUGUGGUGUGCAUGCUGCAUCAAGGACUAUGGUGGGAAAGGCUUUCAGAUUUGGGUUCUAUUGGCCAACUGCAAAGAGGGAUGCCGCCGAGUUAGUCCAGAAGUGCGAGGCGUGCCAAUUCUUGUCAAAACAACAACACUUACCUGUGCAGCAGCUGCUGACCAUUCCUGUGACCUAACUGUUUGCAUGCUGGGGGCUGGACAUGAUUGGGCCUUUCAAGAAAGCUCAAGGAGGGUAUACUCACAUACUGGUUGCCAUCGACAAAUCUACGAAGUGGAUAGAGUACAAGCUGAUAGCUUCCUUGACCUCAGCAAAGGCAGUGGAGUUCAUUCAGUAGAUAAUGUUCAGGUUUGGAAUACCUAAUAGCAUCAUCAUUGACCUAUGAUCUAACUUCACCAGCUCGGAGUUCUUCGAUUUCUGUGAGCAGAGGAGCACUCAGAUCAAGUACGCAUUAGUGGCACACCUAAGAGCUAAUGGGCAGGUGGAAAGAGCCAAUAGAAUGAUACUAGAUGCACUCAGAAAGAAAGUGUUCGAUAAAAGCGAGAAGCUUGCUGGGAAGUAGAUCAGGGAACUACCAUACGUGGUCUGGAGCCUGCGAACCCAGCCAAGCUGAGCCCUGCAUGGAAACACCCCAUUCUUCAUGGUAUAUGGGUCGGAGGUAGUGCUACCUGCCGAUCUGAUCUUUGGGGCACCCAGGUUGACCUUUGAAAGCAUAGCUGAGGCAGAAGCAACCAGGCUAGAGGACAUCGACGUGUUGGAGGAGGAGCGAUUAAAUAUGGUAAUUCAGUCGGCCAGAUACCAGCAGACCUUGAAGCGCUACCAUGACAAAGCUAUGCGACAUUGAUCCUUCACAGUGGGAGACUUGCUCCUCCACCAGGUACUAACGGGGGAGGGAUGACACAAACUGUCACCACCAUGGGAAGGACCGUUCAUCGUGGCAGAGGUCACACGACCGGGAUCCUACCGGCUUACUCAAAUGGAUGGCACCGAAGUGGGGAACUCAUGGAAUAUCGAGCACCUCAGAAAAUUCUACCCCAAGCAAUACCUCAAAACUCUUGAGGGCGAGUUGUACUCUGUAAUCAGAAGAUUCCUUCGUCAAUGAAGCUUUCAUCUUCCAAGGCAUUCAAAUUCUUGAUUGACAACUGACUUAGAUUGGGCUCAACUCGAAAACAACAUAACGUGACUUAGGGUGAUCACUAUGCCCUAUUAACGGAGCAAUCGGCUUAAGUCGGAAACGCCUUAAGUCGGUGCGACAUGCUCACGCUUACAUGACUUAGGGUGAUCAUUAUACCCUAAUAACGGAGCAAUCGGCUUAAGUCGGAAAUACCUUAAGUCGGUGCGACAUGCUCACGCUUACUUGACUUAAGGUGAUCACUAUGCCCUACUAACGGAGCAAUCGGCUUAAGUCGGAAAUGCCUUAAGUCUGUGCGACAUGUUCACGCUUACAUGACUGAGGGUGAUCACUAUACCCUACUAACAGAGCAAUCGGCUUAAGUCGGAAAUGCCUUAAGUCGGUGCGACAUGCUCACGCUUACACAACUCAGGGUGAUCACUAUACCCUACUAACAGAGCAAUCGGCUUAAGUCGGAAACGCCUUAAGUCGGUGUGAUAAGCUCAUGCGUACGCAGGCAAGGGUGAUCACUAUUCCCUAGUAACAAAAUAGCUAACUCAAAUCAGGAGUAUUUCGAGAAAGAAAUAACUCACGCGCAUUGUCAAGGGUGUUUUUAGCACCCUGCUGAUGGAGCAAUAAGUUCAAACAUAGCAAUUACAUACACACAGAAUUCACAUUACAUUUUUCUGUAAAAAGUACUAACUCAAUGAGCAAGUGUUUUCAAGCAAAUCAUUGUGUUGAAGCAUUCUUGCAGGAAGCCUCGACUGCAGGAGUAGCGGAAGAAGAUGGUCGACUCAUGACAUCAGGUGCAGCAACAACAUCAGCGACAAUGUCUUCAGGCACCAUCCCCCCGGUGCGAACAGCCUUAUCCAUGGCCUUGUCGCACAUCGCCUUCAUAACGACGCAGUCGUCCUCCAAGGCCUUGAUAUGGAGGCGAGCGGCCUCCAGCUCCUGAGUAACAAGCUUCUUGGAAGCGCGUAGCUCCUUGAUGACAAAAUCUUUGGUAGACAACAACUUGCCAAGUCGAGACACUUCAUCCUGGGAUGCCCUCAAUUCAUCGCGAUGAUGGUCCAAGUCCGACAUGGUAAAACAGUGACUCCUCUCCAGAAUGGUUAAGGAAGUGUUGGCAUCACGGUAUAGCCUAUCCAGAUUGUCACGAGAAGCAACGAGUGCUCGUUUUUUCUCGUGUAAGCAAGAACAACACUGAGCAUCGAAGCAAGGAAAGAAAGAUAGAAGCAGCCAAGAGAGUUUACCUCACAUGUCAUCUUCUCGAAGUCAAGUUGUGCAUUCAGAGAAGAGUUUAAGGAGCGAGCACUGUCCAAGAAAGCAGAGGUUUGGCUCAAGUUGGCCUGACUCUAGGUAUACUUCUCUUCAGUAUCAGAGCAUCGCCGAGCCAAAGCUGAUAAAGCAGCAGAGAAAAGCACAACAUAUAAGAUAAGCAGAGCAAUGAAAGCGAAAAAGGAAACUAUGAGCUCACUAACCAAUGUUUGAUGCCUUCAGGUCAUCUAUCUAUUUUUUGAAGCAGUAGAGGGUUCCACUGCAUCAAGGAUGAAACUUGGUCGGGGACAGGAGCGCCACAGGAUUUCAGUUGGGCAGAUACGGAACCAAGAACAUCCUAUGAUUAUGAAAAGAUAAGCAAAAAAAAACUAGUUUGCCAGUGUGAAUGGUAAAAAGCAAAAUUUGAUUCACCUGAAGAUUGGAGAGGAACAAAGGAAGGCCCAUAGUAGAAAGAAUUGAUACAUUGCUUGAUGAGGGGAUGUCAACGGGAAUGAUGUCGAAGGCACCACUUGGAGGAACCUCAGCCUCGUCAACAGGUGGCAGACUCCUGGCGUCUGGGUCACUGGCCUCUAAAGUGACCAGACCAGCAAGAGCAGCAGAUAAGUGUGUCAACACGGCGUCCUCAGAUUGGACCGGUGGCGAUCCAGCGUGGACGUCCAUGGAAGCAGUAGAAAGGGAGCCUGCCCCAACUCCCUCGGGGGCUGGGUCGCUCCCAACACCACCCUCGGGGGCUGGGCCCUCCGUAGCAGCCACUCCCAAGGUGUGUCGCCCAGAAUUUUCAAAGAUUUUCUGAACAAGUGAUAUCCACGAAAUAUACGCAAUGAAUGUACCACGAAAAAAGGAGGAGAUCGGCUGAGACGGGAGGAAGUAUAAAUGUGGUUACUGAAGCGCAAGUCUAAUCAACAGAAGCAUUGAAACACAGAGCAGGGUGAUGUCCAACUGAGGACCAUCUGCCUCAACUAGCGAGACGUCCAAUCUGUCACCGAUCAAAUUGAUUUCAGACCUAACAAGGCAUGGACAGAUGGCAUCGUCUGGAUAUUCAAAAAAUGUUGAUUUCAAAAGCAUAAGAUGAAGACCUUUGAAUGGAUUAUUUCUAAAAUCCACUCAAAGCUCGGGGACUACACCCAUUGGGUGCACCUUCGGUGCACCCAAAAAAUCUACAGUGGCUCGAUGCUAAAAUGUUGAUUUCAAAAGCAUAAGAAAUAUCUUUGAAUGGAUUAUUUCUAAAAUCCACUCACCCAAAAGCAAAACAGAAAUCAGGCUAUACAACAAACCCAUAGGCCGGACCAAGAAUCUUUGGGCCGAUUAUUUCAAAAUCAACUCAAAGAUUGGGGCCUUGUGGGGGAUAGAUAUCCCCCGGGUCCACUAAAAGGCGAAAGGUCCUUGCGUGAGGCCUCGGGCCAGUUACCCCGCAAGACCAUAUCUUCAUGGGCCGGGCAAAAACUACUGGCGGAAUGGGCCAGUCCAAGAAGGCGAUGGACUUGGGUCCAGAUGGUCCAUCGAAUCGUGCGCUACCCCAAGAAACCACCUGACUUUCUCGCGUCUGGCACCCUCUAAUGUCGGGCUAAUCAGGGAUGAGUUGGUGGGAUUUUCGGGAGAUUGGUUCAGUCGGUUCACUAUUAGUUAGGAGAUACAUGAUCAUCAUGUACAUAUGGAGUGCCCCACGGUCGUCUAUAUAAGGCCCAGGGGGAACCCCAUCAUUUUCAUCCUAUCUAUCUAUCUAUCUCAUUAGACUCUCUCCAUUCAGGAGACACCACUUGUAACACACCACAUACAGAUCCACCCCAGGAAGUAGGGUAUUACACCUCUCAAAGCGUCCCAAACCUGCAGAAAAUCGCCUAUCUCUCUCUCGUGCUCCCAGCAUGGACCAUUGAGCUACAAUCAACAACAUCGUCCUACCCAAAAGCACCACAACGGUAACCCUGGGUGUGCGGUCGGACACUAAACACCGACACGCUCCACAAGACGAGAGGGCAGGAAAGGAAUCACUGAUUUGCACAGUAUGUGCCUAAGGCUAGCCAUCCACAAAAGGCACCGUAAGUAUAAGGAUAAGAUUAGAGCUAAUAGGACUAGAAAGUAAACCAUAAAAAUAUUAGGAAACAAAAUAAAAUAAGAUUUAUCAAGGGUUGGUCGAGAUGACCGUCUUUUGAAGUGACACCAAACAUCAAGGUGAGAAUAAGGGUCCAUAAUCCUUAGAACAACCAUUCUACACUAGGUUAGCGGUCCUACAGUCAACAAGGCUUUGAUACCACUUAUGUCACACCCGGUUUUAGAAGGUAAACCGAAUGCAAAUCAUGUACGUGCCAGGAUCAGAAAUUCACGUACACAAUGAUUACCUAAUUUGACAUCAUCACACAAUGCUCAAAUAUUAGCGGAAAUAAGUAUUACUUUAUUACAUUAUGAUGUCCAAAACAUCCACAUAGUCAUUAACUUAAACAUAAAUCAAAGUGCUGAAUGAAACGUAGUAAGAUAAGGCCUUCACAGGCAGCCGAGUGGGGGUGUGCCACUAGUCUAGUUUAGAAUUCCUCGAAGUCUUGAAACUCCUGAAAAUUCUCUGUGUUUCCUUCAUCUUCUCUUGAGCAAUGGUUGCAAUAGGAACAACCUGGUGUUUGGUAUUUAAGCAAGGGUGCGUACACAUCAACAUACUCAGCAAAUGUCUCGUUUAGUUGAAGUGGACUAGCUGUAUGUGGGGUUAAGCUCAAAGCAGUUGCUUUUAGUUGGUCAGGUGUUUAUCAUUAGUCGAAGCCAAGUUUUAUCAUAAAACCCAAGUUGAUAUUCCAAAAGAAAGCACCUCCUUAGAGAGGAAAGUACCAUAUAUCACAAGUAUAGCCAUCAUCUUUAAACCAUCAGCAUAAAUAUUUCCAGAGUAUCUCAAAUCAAAGAGGAUUCGAAGGCUACUCAUAACUAUGAGCAUAGCUAAUAUAUUAGUUUCUAACCCUAUGCAGAGGUUGCACAUUUUACCUACGAGUUGUGACCCCUUUUUGCCUCGGGUUGAUCAAACCCUCAAACACUACCAAGAUGAGUUGGUAAGGUUUCACUAUGUAGCCUUUACAAAGAUUAUCCUGGUGUGUAGCUGCACGUUAGGUUUUGUCUGUCGUACAAACAAAGUACUCCUCCCUACGAUGGGUGACUAACAAAAUCAUGUUCGUUGAUUAGGGUAAAGCACUAGCAUGUAGCUGAUUAUAAUAACCCAACCCAAAAAGGUAAUCAAGGAUAGGAUAAAUCGAAAGCUAGUCAAUCCUCAGGCUAUUCAUAGUAUGCGGACAGUAAAUUAUAAAAUAAAUAGGACAUAAUAGGUCAGAGGAAACUUGCCUUCACUAAACUGUUGCUGCUCAGGAGCUUCUCCUGCAACUUCCUUGGACUCCACGAACAGAACGUUAUCUAAGUGAGUGCGAACACACAUUCAACAUUCUUAAAAUAGAAAGGAAUAGUACACCAUAAAAGGGAAAACAUUAUAAACACGUGCAAUACAAAAUAGUGUUCGCUGCUACGGUCACACGAGAAAAAGAAACUCCGAGAUCGAAGCUGCGAUUGAGAAGUUUUUGCGUAUACGUUGUACAAAUAUAAAAUAGAACAUUUAAUUUGACAUACUUGCAUUAAUCAACAUUUAUUAAAUGUAACCUAGAACUAUCGCCUUAUUUUAAUUAAUUCUCGUUACACUAGCAGCUCUCGGUUAAUUAAACAAUUUAAAUUAUAUUAGCGACUCUUAGCGAGACGAAUUCACGCUACGAGACAAAGUACGCAACGCGCGAAACAACACUGCAGCACGCGCACCAAUACGACAUGCGAGGACUAAUAAAUGGAUAGCAUGUUUAAACUAAACAAUUAUUAAUAAAGAAUAUUUCAGUUAAGGUUAACCAUGUUGGUGUUUAUUUAUAAAUGCGCAAAUUGAAACCCUAAUUUAGAUUUAAAUUAAUAAGCUACUUUAAUAACCAUCGAUCAAACAAACAUUUAAAUAAAAUAUGUAAUAGAAGAGAAUAAUGGUUCUAACAUGUAGAUAAUUUUAAUACAAAUCUAAUGCGACUUGAACGGAGUGAAUCAGAUUUAAAAUGCAAAAGAUAUCGUGAUUUUAAAUUGAAACACCUCUUUGUGCGCAGUUUUAAAAUUCUUAGGAGUUUUUUUUCGCAAAAAUGUCAUCGUCUUCCUCCCUCUAUCCUCUUUUUUCACCAUGGCAAGGAAGGGGACGGGGCCGUGCAGGGGGGAAGGGAAGGGAGAAGAGAGGGAGGGGCUACGCGAGCGAGGGAGAAACAAAGAAAUUCCAUGUACAACAAUGGUGCAGGGCUCACCAGAGAAGACGACCUCCCCGGAGCCGAGGACAAAUUCCCCGAUUAACGACGAACCGUCGGUCAGAUCGACGAAUCCAAGGCACCGGGACAAAGCUCUCGAUGAGACGAAUGUAGUGGUACCCUUGGAUUCCGACAACGAUGCACGAAUCGAAAGUAAUUGCUUGCCGGAGUUGUCGCCGGAGUGAGAACCGUCUCGAACUUUGGCGAGUAAUUUCGGGAGUUUCGGAUCUAAACUGAGGAUGAGGUUUUGAAACUCGGAAAGAGAUCGAUGAGAGGAUUCCAACCAUAUAUAUAUUUCUAGGGGUUGAAGACAUUUUAUUUUUCGUAAUUAUCCCAUUUUUAAAAUUACAAAUAAUUCAAGAAAAAGGCUGAAAUCGUUUUUAAUGCUCGAACAAUAUCUCGAAGGCUCCGAAAAUUCUAGGAAAAUUCUUAGACAUGAUUCGGCACCCAAUGAACUCAAAAAACAUAUUUAGAACUUUUCAAAAUGUUUUUAAGUACCUCAAAUAAAUGGCUUGUGAAUUUCGGAAAAUAAAAGUAUUUAGAAAAAUAUGAAAAUUUAUAGGAAACUUCUACAAGACAUAUGAACAUGUUUCAAACACUUCUUGCACUUAGAAACACUAUGCAACAGCAUGAAUGCAACAACCAUGACACUUCUAGAGCACACGCCAACAUAGAACAAAAUAACUCUCUAUUAUUUUAAUAAAGGGAAAAGAACGAAGAAAAGAAAGUGUAACACCUGAAUUUUGAGUACAGAGUAAAGAAAUUUUUAUACCCCAAAUUCUAGGUGUUACAGUUGUACAUUUGAUUUUUCCAAUGUUUUAAUACUUAUCAAAUGCUUUGUUUGUGUAGCUUCUAUGCCUAGAUUAAUAAAGUUCGUUUUAUAAUUUUUAACACACUGUUCAUGCUCAUUUUUUUGCCAAAAAUAUUAGUCGUAUAACCAUGGAUCUUUAGUGAGAAGCUCCUAUUACUUACCCCAUACAUCUUUCCUUGCUAGAAAUUAGUUUCUUGGAUUUUUGGUGGAUAUUAUUUUUUCAUGAAAAAACAUAGGUGUUAGCCAUUGAUACUGCCGAAAGCGAUCGUUCAUGGCCAUUUUGGCCAAAAAUAAUGGUCGUAUACACAUUAAUCUUUGGUGAGAGGCUUUUAUUACUUAUCCCAUAGAUAUUUUAUUGAAAGAAAACAGUUUCUAGCAAAAGGGCCUCUCGCCUAGUGGUUAAAGGCUCUCGAGUAGCACCUCCAAGUCCUGGGUUCGAUCUCUGUCGUGGGAAAAUUUUUCGGUUUUACUAAAAAAAUCCCCUAACUGUGUCUCAUCUGCUCUCGAGUUAUGAUAUCAUGUGUGCCCCUACAUUUGGCCCAUCAUUUGGACCAUUGCAUAGUGGACAAUUGACACCAAGUCCGUUAGUGAUAGGAAGCCAAGGUUCAGGGAUAUUUUUGGCUGGUACCAGUGUUUCGAUGUGUGCAUCCUUGAGUGUUGGCUCCAGGCAUCCCUCCUCAACCGAGUUUUUCAAAAAUAGUUUCCUCAUUUUUUGUUGUGGCCAUUUCUUUACGAAAAAUCCAUAGCUUUUAGCCUUCGGUAUUUUCGAAAACAUUUGUUCAUGCUCGUUUUCUACCAAAAAAAAUCGGUAGUAUAACCAUGGAUCUUUGGUGACUGUCUCCUAUUACGAUAUUACUUACCCCAUUUAUAUUUUCAUGCUAGAAAUUAGUUUCUUGGAUUUUUGGUGGAUAUCAUGUCUUCAUGAAAAAUACAUAGGAAUUAGCAUUUGGUAGUGUCGAAAACAGUCAUUUUUGGCCAAAAAUAUUGGUCGUGUACUCAUGGAUCUUUGUGAGAGGCUCCUAUUACCUACCCCAUACAUAUUUCCUUGCGAAAAUUUAGUUUCUUGUAUUUUUGGUAGAGACUUUAUUCGUGAAAAAUCCAUAGGUGUUAGUGUUUAGUAUUAUCGAAAACAGACGUUCAAGCCCGUCAUCGGUGUAGUAAAUCCAAAGGACUCAUUGUUUAUGAGAAGAUACUAGCUAGGAAAAUAUUGUCUCGGCUAGGUACAUCCUAGUGACCCAAGAAUAUCUGAGACUCAAUAGAUCUAGACAUCGAAAAAACCUGAAGUUAGUAAACUAGCUAAAAAAUGUGAAACAUGAAAAUCGGCCCAACAUCAAGGGAUGUCCAAAAUCUACACAAGAAAAUGGAUUGAAGAAACAACACAUGCUUGAUUGUCUAGAUUGCCAUGUUUGACAUGUCGGAACCAACAAAAAGUCUAGAAAUCAAAAACCAAAAAGAGAAAAAGGAUUGGAACAAGAGUGAAGGUGAUUUGUUGUUUAUAGUUGACUUUAUUUUAUAAAAAAUUUAAAAAGGGAGUUGAACAAGAGUGAAUGUGAUUUAUUGUUUAUAGUUUUUAAGGGGGUGGAGUGGAACAAGAGCGAAGGUGAUUUGAUGUUUAUACUUUUUUAAAGAUGAUUUGAUGUUAAUAAUUUUUUAUAAGGAAAAAAUAAGUAGAGAACUGAUGAUGACUACAUGCUUUUGCUUUUCUUUUCUUUCAUGAGAGGAGUGCAUGUCAUGCGUUUGUUUUGAACUUUUGCAUGAGAGGAAAAGAGCUAGGACCUACUUAUAGCAAUUGUGUACACGCGUUAGUCUUUGAACUAACUCGCCAGGGUUUUUUCAAGGAACAAAAAUAGGCCAGCCAGCGAUGUCUGUGGUGUGCCAUACGUCAAGGUCUAGAUUCCUUGCCUCCAUCGUCCAUAAAUACAUGCACAUCUGCAACAUCGAUCUCCACACACACACACAUCCAUCAAAUAAACAAGCGCACACGAACAAAUACCUCGCCGCCAAUAAUGGCCUCCAGAUCCUCCAUUGUGCUCGCCACGGCGAUGCUAGCUACACUAUUCGCGGUUGGUUUGUGCACCACCCCGCUCACCUUCCAGGUCGGUAAGGGAUCCAAGCCUGGCCACCUGAUCCUCACCCCGAACGUUGCCACCAUAUCCGACGUGGAGAUCAAAGAGCAUGGUGGCGAUGACUUCUCCUUUACGCUGAAGGAGGGCCCGACCGGCACCUGGACACUCGACACCAAGGCCCCGCUCAAGUACCCCCUUUGCAUCCGCUUUGCUGUCAAGUCUGGUGGCUACCGCAUCGCCGACGACGUCAUCCCCGCCGAUUUCAAGGCUGGCACCACUUAUAAGACGACACUCAGCAUCUAAUCAGCAUCUGAAGAUGAACUAUAUUUCAAAAGAGCUCAUCUGGCGCACGUGUUAGCAAGACAAUUUUUUUCUUUGGUUAUUUUAUGGCACCAAACCACCCAAGAAAUAAGUUAUGCUACAUGUCCAUAUGAUGCCUUGUUGUGUUGGGUUGAUAUUUUUACAUAAACUAAAUACAUUAUUUAUUUAAGAUCUUUGGAGAAAUUUGUUGAUCUGGUCUAGCUUUAUUAUUGAGAUGGUUGUACAUUUGAUUUUCCAAUGUUUUAAUACUUAUGGAAUGCUUUGUUUGUGUUGUUUCUAUGCAUGGAUUAAUAAAGUUCGUUUUAUCAUUUUUCACACACUGUUCAUGCUCAUU
rnacentral:lncRNA from 1 species